rnacentral:lncRNA from 1 species
UUUUUUUUUGUGUAUUUAGAGUUUCUUUGUGAAUAUUUUUGCUUUAGGUACAAAAAAUUACAAACUUUCUGUUAGUGCCCGUAGUUUUCAAAUUUGAAUAGUUUAAAUUUUGAAUUAUUUGAAAUCAGUAAAGGCAUGAAAGAAUUUGUUUGCACAUAAAAUUUCUUCGUGUUUCAAAUGCCAAAACACAUAAUUAACUACCCUAACUAUUACAGAGAUUCCCUUUUGGGUGUGAAACACAUAAGAAAGUGAUGAUAGUGAAGCCGAUCACAUCCCAGAUCUUUGGGUGUGAAACUUUUUCUUCGCGUGUGUCCCUUUGCGCCGUAACCAUGGAAAAUCUUCAUCAUUUAACGGGAUGCUCGGGUCAAUAUUCACUGUGAAUGGAGCAAUUUCAUCAAAUUUUUCAUAAUCUUUUGACUUGUCUGUCUUGUCAUCCACUCCCAUGAUGUUUCUCUUCCCAGAAAGAACUAUGUGCCGCUUUGGCUCAUCGUACGAUGCAUUCGCUUCCUUAUCUUUUCUUUUUCUUGGCUUGGUAGACAUGUCCUUCACAUAGAAAACCUGUGCCACAUCAUUGGCUAGGACGAAUGGUUCGUCUGCAUAUGCAAGAUUGUUGAGAUCCACUGUUGUCAUUCCGUACUGCGGGUCUUCCGUUACCCCGCCUCGUGUCAUAUUGACCCAUUUGCACCGAAACAAAGGGACCUUCAAACCACGUCGAUAGUCAAGUUCCCAUAUGUCCUGUAUAUAACCAUAAUAUGUUUCCUUUCCCGUCUUGGUUUCUGCAUCAAAGCGGACACCACUGUUUUGGUUGGUGCUCUUCUUAUCUUGGGCGAUCGUGUAAAAUGUAUUACCAUUUAUCUCGUACCCUUUGAAAGUCAUUAUAUUCGAAGAUGGUAACUGGGACAGCAAGUACAGGUCAUCUUCAAUAGAGGUGUCAUGCAUGGUACGUGUCUGCAACCAGCUGACGAAACUCCUGGUUUGUUCACGUGUAAUCCAGUCAUCAGACCGCUCCGGGUGUUUGGAGCGUAGCAAAUUCUUGUGUGCAUCAAUAUACGGAGCCACCAAGGCGGAAUUCUGUAGAACUGUGUAGUGUGCUUUAGUGAGAGAAUGUCCGUCCAUACAUAUUAUUUGUUCCCCUCCUAGCGUGCCUUUUACAUCCAGUCUGCCCUUAUGCCGCGAUUCAGGAACACCAAUCGGCUUAAGGUCAGGAAUAAAGUCAAUACAAAACUCAGUGACCUCCUCAUUUUGACGACCCUUGGAGAUGCUUCCUUCUGGCCUAGCACGGUUAUGAACAUAUUUCUUUAAGACUCCCAUGAACCUCUCAAAGGGAACAUAUUGUGUAGAAAUACAGGACCCAAAACGUUAAUCUCUUCGCAUAGGUGAACUAGGACGUGUGUCAUGAUGUUGAAGAAGGAUGGUGGGAACACCAACUCGAAACUGACAAGACAUUGCACCAAAUCAUUCUCUAACCUUGGUAUGAUUUCUGGAUCGAUUACCUUCUAAGAGAUUGCAUUGAGAAAUGCACAUAGCUUCACAAUGGCUAAUCGAACGUUUUCCGGUAGAAGCCCCCUCAAUGCAACCGGAAGCAGUUGCGUCAUAAUCACGUGGCAGUCAUGAGACUUUAGGUUCUGGAACUUUUCCUCUGCCAUGUUUAUUAUUCCCUUUAUAUUGUACGAGAAGCCAGACGGUACCUUAAUACUGAGCAGGCAUUCAAAGAAGAUUUCCUUCUCUUCUUUGGUAAGAGCGUAGUUUGCAUGACCCUGAUGUAUGCCGUCUUUUCCAUGCAUACAUUGCUGGUCCUCCCGUGCCUCAGGUGUAUCUUUUGUCUUCCCAUACACGCCCAAGAAGCCAAGUAGGGUCACACAAAGAUUCUUCGUCACGUGCAUCACGUCGAUUGCGGAGCGGACCUCUAGGUCUUUCCAAUAGGGCAGGUCCCAAAAUAUAGAUUUCUUCUUCCACAUGGGUGCGCGUCCGUCAGCGUCAUUCGGAACAGGUUGUCCACCAGGACCCUUUCCAAAGACCACCUUCAAAUCCUUGACCAUAUCAUGUACAUCAGCACUAGUACGGUGGCGAGGCUUCGUCCGGUGAUCCGCCUCACCUUUGAAAUGCUUGCCUUUCUUUCUUACGGGAUGCCUGCUCGGAACAAAUCGGCAAUGUCCUAGGUACACAUUCUUUUUACAAUUAGCCAAAUAUAUACUGUCGGUAUUGUCCAAACAGUGCGUGCAUGCGCCGUAUCCCUUGUUUGUCUGUCCUGAAAGGUUACUGAGAGCAGGCCAAUCAUUGAUGGUCACGAACAGCAACGCCUUUAGGUCAAAUUCUUCCCCUAUGUGCUCAUCCCACGCACGUACACCUGUUCCAUUCCACAGUUGUAAGAGUUCUUCAACUAAUGGCCUUAGGUACACAUCAAUGUCGUUGCCGGGUUGCUUAGGGCCUUGGAUGAGCACUGGCAUCAUAAUGAACUUCCGCUUCAUGCACAACCAAGGAGGAAGGUUAUACAAACAUAGAGUCACAGGCCAGGUGCUAUGGUUGCUGCUCUGCUCCCCAAAAGGAUUAAUGCCAUCUGCGCUUAGACCAAACCAUACGCUCCUUGCAUCAUCUGCAAACUCCUUCCCGUACUUUCUUUCGAUUUUUCUCCACUGUGACCCGUCAGUGGGUACUCUCAACUUUCCGUCUUUCUUACGGUCUUCUCUAUGCCAUCGCAUCGCCUUGGCGUGCUCUUUGUUUUGGAACAAACGUUUCAACCGUGGUAUUAUAGGAGCAUACCACAUCACCUUGGCAGGAAUCUUCUUCCUGGGGCGCUCGCCCUCGACAUCACUAGGGUCAUAGCGGCUGAUCUUAUAGCGCAAUGCACCACAUACCGGGCAAGCGUUCAAAUCCUCGUACUCACCGCGGUAGAGGAUGCAAUCAUUAGGGCAUGCAUGUAUCUUCUGCACCUCUAACCCUAGAGGGUAGACAGCCUUCUUUGCUUCGUACGUACUCUCGGGCAAUUCGUUGUCCUUUGGAAGCAUAUCCUUUAUCAUUACCAGCAACUUUCCAAAUCCCUUGUCAGAUACACCAUUCUCUGCCUUCCAUUGCAGCAAUUCCAGUGUGGUGCCCAGCUUUUUCUUGUCACCUACACAAUUCGGGUACAACAAUUUUUUGUGAUCCUCUAACAUGCACUGCAACUUCUUCUUCUCCAAAUCACUUGCGUAGUUUCUCUUUGCAUCGGCAAUGGCCCGACCUAGAUCAUCAACGGGCUCAUCUGAUGCAUCUUCUUCAGCUUCUUCCCGCAUUGCCGGCUCAGCUUCUUCCCGCAUUACCGGCUCAGCUUCUUCCCCCAUUGUUGUAUCGUCGUAUUCAGGGAACCCAUGGCCAGGAUAGCUGUUGUCGUCCUCUUCUUCUUCAUUGUCUUCCAUCAUAACCCCUCUUUCUCCGUGCUUGGUCCAAACAUUAUAGUGGGGCAUGAAACCGGACUUAAACAGGUGGACGUGAAUGGUUCUUGACAUAGAAUAAUUGUGACCAUUCUUACAGCCAGCACAUGGACAAGGCAUAAAACCAUCCGCCCGCUUGUUUGCCUCAGCCGCAAGCAGAAAAGUAUGCACGCCCUCAAUGAACUGGGGAGAGCAUCGGUCAUCGUACAUCCAUUGCCGGCUCAUCUUCAUUACACAACACCGAAUAGACCAAAUUAAUACAAGUUCAUACAUAAAGUUCAUACAACACUUAAAUGCAACAAACAAAUAACUCUCUAGCUAAAGCAUUUAAAUGCAACAACAAAUGCGAUCAAGAUCGCAACUAAGGUAACAAUUGAUCCAACAACAUAAUGAUACCAAGCCUCACUAUCGAUGGCAUAUUUUCUAAUCUUUCUAAUCUUCAAGCGCAUUUUCUCCAUCUUGAUCUUGUGAUCAUCGACGACAUCGGCAACAUGAAACUCCAAUUCCAUCUUCUCCCCCUCAAUUCUUUUCAAUUUUUCUUUCAAGUACUCGUUUUCUCUUUCAACUAAAUUGAACCUCUCGACAAUAGGGUCGGUUGGAAUUUCCGGUUCACAUACCUCCUAGAAAAAAUUUCUAUGUCAACUUGAUGGGCAUAAUUUGUCAUAAACAUGAAAUGCAACUAGUUUUAAAAGAGAAUAUAUAUACCACAUCCGAAUAAUAACAAGGACGAGGGCCGACGGGGACGGAUAUCAAAACCAUGGCACUAUAUGUAUAACAAACAACGUAUGGGUAAGAUUAUUAUACGAGUAACUACAUAUCCAAAUCACACAAACAUCAAUUUUUAUAUAAAAUUUCAUGAACAAGAGGCUCACCACAAGGUGGUGCCGGCGACGGGACGGUGCGGGCGAUCGACGGUGGUUACGACGGAGAUUUAGAAGGCACUAAGUAAACCACACCUACAUAUGCAAACUAAGUGUUAUUUUUGACCUCAAAUUGCGUAUAAAUCAAAUACUAGCACAUGGACAAGGCACUAAGUAAACUCACAAAUUAAUCACUAUAUAAAGCAUUGCAAGAGCUAAUCUAGCAAUGAGAGAUGAAAGGACAAAGUUGCUAACCUUUGUGAUCAUUUGAAUGGAUGGGGGCCUUGAAAUCUUGACAAAUUUUGGGCAAAAUGUGUGAUGAGCUCAAGAGGAACAGGGGAAGAACAGAGAGGAGAGGGGAAAGGGGAUGAACAGAGCGAGCUCGGGUGGACGAAGGGUUUAUGUAGGAUGACCUUUAGUACCGGUUCGUGCCAAGAACCGGUACUAAAGGGGCUGGAGGGGCCCCAGUCUGACAACAUCCUGCCACCACUCUCAUUAGUACCGGUUUGUGGCACGAACCGGUGCUAAAGGUUCGCCACGAACCAGUACUAAUGAAAGCGGCCCGGCUAGCCGUUGGAACCGGCACUAAUGUAUACAUUAGUGCCGGCUCAAAUACAAACCGGCACUAAUGUGCUUCACAUUUGACCCUUUUUCUACUAGUGGUCACCGCUUCUCCCCGCACUGCCGGGUGCGGGAUCUACAACAGGCGUCGCCGCUGGCGAGAGCCUCAUCUUCUUGGCGCUGGGGUCAGCCGACUCCAUUUUCCUUGAGGGCGUCGCGUCGCGCUCACGGAUUUGAGCAGAGUAACGAAUGACGAGCCUAGUUGUAGUGCGAGCGAAGAAGGGGAGCGGGGGGUUUUCUGUAGGAGUGAGGAAGAAGGGGAGCUGGGGUUUUCUCUAGGAGUGAGGUGAGGAAUUUGGGGGUACGAGUGGAGCGAGCUGACGUGAGGUGGGUGGGAGCGAGGAGGAAGAAGAGCACCCAGGUUUUUUUUGGUUGGGGGGAGGGGGCGGUGUGCUGGGUGUGGGUAGCGCAUCUCAUUCAGUAAAUAUAUGGGCUUUUGAAUUGAUUUUACUAUUUAUUAGUGUGGAUGGGCUAUUUUGUCUUGGGACCCGAGAAAAAAUUACUACUAGUACAGUGGAGACACUCUACAGCUACCAGAAAAACAAUUAAUACUAGUACAGUGGAGACACUUUACCGCUUCUGACUCCUCCUAGGUCAUUGAAACGUCUCCCUCUACUAAAUGACAUUAUACUUUUGUUCACCGACAUGCGGGCCAUGCAGCGCGCGGGCCCAAAUGCCAUCCACCAAAUUAGAAGGCAGUAUGCAGGCGGAGAGUCACCCCGGUCGUAGCGCGGCAGUAACGAGCCGUCGUAUCACAAAACCCCACCUCCCCGCAGUCUAAGUUUAACGGACGAAGCAACCAUCAUUUCACUCGUCGUUGAAUCCCCUUCUCCCUCACCAUCUUCAAGAAAGGCAACACUUGCAUAUGCCACUGUUCUUCUCUCCGAACGAAGGGAAGGUAAGCGGAUCCGUGAUGUUGGUAUAUUUUCAUUCAGAGGAAAAAAAAGAACUUUUGCAAAGCAGUAACCGAUCCUCACUCUCUUUUUUGUUUCAUUGUCAUUGCGAUUGUGUUUUCCUUUCAGUGGUCUCCUAGUAUUCGUCAGUUUCAUGACGGACCAAGGAGAACCAGGCAAAGAUCUGCCGAUAUUGGAGCAGACGCGGGAGGCUGAUCCCCACGAGACAGAGAGCUCCAAGAAGAUGGAGGCAACCACCGAGGCGACCCCAGAUACUGAGAUGGUCAACGCCCCGUUUGAGGUUACAACCCCCGUGGCACUGCAGGAGCAGUUUUCCCCUUCGAGGAUGUGUUCCCCCCGCUGAGCUGCCCAAGGUGAUUUCCUUCUUUGCCGAUCUUGAUUGUGGUUUUUCAUCUAAGUAUGUAGUGAUUUUUUUAGAAAAGGAAGUAUGUGGUGAUUAAUAAUGCAAAAUUUUAUUAGCUUCGAUGCCAUGGUAUACGUAGUAGUUUAAAUAACUUGUGUUUCUUAUACUGAAAAGUAAUUCAGAACUUGUUUCUGUUUCAAUUAGAGCCCUGAUGCAGACAAGGAUUGUGUGGUUGUACAUGUCACUCGCUAUGAGGCGGACGACCUGAAUAUACGCACUGGGAAAAUAGAGUUCUUAGGUUGUUGGAUCCUGGAAGCCAUUUGCGGUUAUACCAAUGAAGAGUUGUAUUCCAGCAUCACUGUUGUCAGGCGUGUUGUCCAGGGUGUACUGAAGCACAAGAAGUUGAAAGCUACUCCUUCAUUUGUGAGGAAUACUGUUCUUGUCAAGCUUACGCAGGAAGAUGACGUGGCAUGCCUCCACAAACAAGUUUAUCAGUGGCAAGGCCACAAGGUUGUCUUCAUGAAGGUUCAUAGGAUUGAGCUGCUGCGGGACGUCCUCGAUGAUGUUCAUGGCAAGGUCCGUCUUGUGUCCAGCCCAAAUUAGAUCGAGGCAUGAAAUAGUUGCCCCAGCUAGUGUUUAAUAGUAGUUUGGAUUGUGUCUAAUUAUCCGAACCUUGCCUGUUAUCGACCCCUCUGGGGCUAGUACUCUGUUUGAAUCCGUCUAUGGGAACUGCUGCUACUUUUGUGUGCCCGUGAAUCAUGUGAGAACCAUCGUAAUUGUUGCCGAAACAGAUGUUCCUCACUAGUUUUUUCAUGAAUAUGGCAUGGUAAGACAUAAGUUGUCACGGUUUAUCAUACGAGCAGUGUGUGUUUUGAUGAAAUAGAGCACUCGUUCAAGAACCGUGUGCCGACAUAUACAUAAGUACACGUAAACACUGUUGGUGCUACCCCACUUGUAACCAGUUGUGCAAAACACGGCACAUUGGCUCAGCUCGCUUCAACACUAGGCUAUCGACCAGCUAACAAUCAACAAUCUGUUGUCUGACAUAUAAGCAACUAUGUAUCUUGUUACAGUGGUUCAUGCAGUUAAUUGAAGCCACAAUGUAAUAAAUUCCAAACGUUCACACGCUAGUCCAGCGCUCAUGUGGAACACUCACAUUAAACUCGUCUUCAUAAAAAAACAUGAAAAGCAUAAGUUAAGCAAUUUUAUACAUCUCAAUGAUUCAUAGAACAUAUCAAACAUAUACUAGUUCACAACAAAAGACAAAGUUGUGAGAAGGUUUACAAAUCAGGGAAAAACAAGCAAGGCUUCUCUCUGAGCAAAGGGCCUCCCGGCAGGCUUAAAUUUCCUGGAGUUCACUCUGGUUUUUUCUUGUUGCCACCAUUCAGGGUUAGGUUCUCUCAUUCCAGAAUAACCAAUUAUAAUUGUGGUCUCAGCUGGAAUGCUGAACUGAACCAUGCAAUGUACUGACCAGGUGAAAUUCUUGUGCAUUCCACUAAAUUUAAGCACCGCUAUUUGUAGAAAUAAGUAGAGCACAAUGCAUCUUGUCCGCGCACCUGUCCAAAAAACCGCCGUGCAGCCGUGCCAGCUAGUCCUCGGUCCGUGGAUGAACUGGUAUAAAGUGCAUUCCGGACUAGGAUGCAGUUGUUUUCGCUCGUCCCUGCACUGCAAUCAGGAAGUAAAACGUACGAAUCAACUUCUUUUAGAUUGCGUUGGUCAUUCUACCUUAGUUACUACCAAUGUAGGGAUACCUGGAAGACGGGAGGUUAGACAACGGCAACGAGGGAUAGCCAUCUCAUUUUGCGUAGUUGUACUAAAACUGAGGUGUGUGCUUUUGAUUGCGCGGAUAGAAACGAUACGGAGACAGACAUCCCUGUUUGCGCAAAUAAGAAAUACGGUUAUUUAAAUAGUGACAGAUAUUACUACUUUCCCCCGUUUCCUCUUAGAACCAAGUCCUAGAUUCAUGCUACAACUUUCCCAGUUUCUUCCCUGUUUGAACCAACGCUUUGAGUCGACUAUAUGAAAUAGCUUUACUUCUAAUAAUAGUAGAAGUCUAGGUGGCUUUGGAACAGCGGACGGAAGUAGAAAAGGAUCCACACGAAGGGAGCUGGGGCAGUAGAGCAAGGCAGGUUUCAAAGGAAUAUAUACCUGAGGGUCGUCGGCAUGUCGCAAAGACGGUGUCGGGAGGCUGCAUCUUGGCCACUAUACCGCAGGGAGGAAGAAGGGGUCGGAGGCCCUCCCGAUCCGGCGCUCUCUCGGAGAGAACGGCACGGCCGCCGAUCGGGACGCGCGGGCAGCCGUUGGUCUCCUCCCUCGCCGCCGACGAUAGCGUGAACGAUGCACCUACACCCCUGCCCCGGUCGAGGUUGUCCGGCCGGAUUUGUGACCAGCCGUGAGCUGAGAGAGUGUGUGGCCAGCUAUGUGUUGCUUAGAUCUGGAGAGCAUGAGAGAGUGAAUGAGAGGAACCCUAGUAAAGAAAGCGCUAAGGCUCCUACUUUUAUAUAUAGUGGAGUGAUUUUGUUGUACCAGCUUCAAAAAAAUGCGCUCCUACGUGUACCCGCGAGUGGGUGUGAGAGAACUAGUGUGUGCGUGCACCGCUUCUCUUCGUGAGAGUACAAUAUACUAUGCCCAAAGAACGUUCGCCGCAAGAGUAAUAGUACAGGUGUGUGACGUGUGAGCUAAAAUAAAAUGUGUGCGCCGUCUUUUGUUUUUUAGAAGUUCUGAGGGUAGGGUGUGAAGAGCACAUAUGUGCGUGACGUCUACCUGCAGAUAGACGGUGGGUGCGACGUGCGAGUCUGCGAGAGGACUCGGGAGAGUCGUGACUCGUGAGGGUGCGUGUGCGUGAGAGAGAGGGGGCACGUAUCAAUGCAAUGCAAGUGUCCGUAAAUCAUUAUCCGACAACCGUUUGCCACAAGCCUUUUCCUAACGAACACCGUAAGAACCGUUAGAUCGGCAUCCGACAGUGUCAGUUUUGCCAUGUCAUUUAACAGAACAGCCACUCCUCCUACACACAAAUCUUUCACGUGAGUGUUAGCAACUGACGUAUGCUCCCUCCGUUCCGAAAUGCAGUGCAUAUAGCUUUAUUGAAAAUUCAAACCUCGCAAACUUUUACCGAGUUUUCGUGUACCAAAUUGCACAUGUAGAAUACCAUGUAUAUGUCAUUUCAUUCACCUUCGAGAGGUAACUAUAAAGUUGGGUGAGGAGUCUACAAAGAAAGACCAUCGUAUCACCCGCAGCAAUUUCAAGCAUCCUUUAGUGUCGAGGAAUAUCAUAGGAACUCUAUAUGAUAUGAUUUUUAUAGGAUUUUUUCCUUUAGAGCCAAUUGGUUCAUAGGAAUAGAUUCAUAUACUCCACAUUUCAAAGGAAAUAAACAUGAUAUCAUUUCUAUAGCUUUAGAGCCACUUGGUUCAUAUGAAUGGAUUCCUAUACUCCCUUAAUUUCAAAGAAAAAUAAACAUUAGCGUAUAUUCAAUAGAAAAGUGCCUAUGAUAUGAACCAAAUUACAUCUCUUUUCUAAUCCCUCCUCAUAGGAAUUGAGAUACAUGUCAUCUCUAGAUUCAAUAGAAAAGUUCCUAUGAUGUGAACCAAAUGACAUCUCUUUUUCAAUCCCUACUCAUAGGAAUUGAGAUGCUCCAUGUCAUCUCUUUCCCUACAACUUCCAUGUAUACAUCUUCUAUUCCUAAAUAGAUAGUACAACCCACUAGUAGCUUUUUUUCCAAAACAUGCAACUAUGGCACAAGAACUAUAUAGUGUGCCAAUAACUUUGAAAGAUGGUCGCUGGAUGAAGCUAACCCGACAGUGCAGAGAUAGGCAAAUCCGAGCACUACUGGCCAUUGGAUAUCAUCAACAUUCCACCAGAUCUGCCACAUGUACAAUCUAGAAGACUCCAUGGUUGAACUUAAGCAUAAUGCACAAACCUCAAAACACAAGCACUUCUCCUUUGUUCUAGAAUCUUCUAUAUCAUAAUUGAUUUUUUUUCUAAAUGAAUUGCCAUUAUUUGUUUUUUACUUUAUGAUUUACUCCCUCCGUUCCAAAAUAGAUGACCCAACUUUGCACUAACUUUGUACAAAGGUAGUGCAAAGUUGGGUCAUCUAUUUUGGAAUGGAGGGAGUACAAUGCACAACCCUAUGAAUCUUAACAUGUUUAUAAAACUUAUUGAUUUAGAAUGAGAUGAACUAUAAGAACUAAACGAACAUCUACAUCAUGCAUAUAUGACUCAAAGCUUUACAUGCUAUAGUGUGUAUUUAUUCAUAAUUUGGUUUCGAAAUCUCAUGCGUUCAAUACAUGUGUACCAUACUAGUUUUGAGUAGAGUAGCAAAUUUCACGCGGCCCCGGGUAUAUCAAAAUGCAGGGCCCAUGCAUCAUUGCCUUUCGGUCGAACCUAUGUCCAUAAUUUUUUGUACGUGCUAUAUCUCCACUGGUCCCCGAACCCAAAAUGUUGCCUCAUUCCCGUAAAACCAAGCGGCCCACACAUAUUUAAGGCGUCGGCUCGAACCCGUUUACUAUGACAUGGCCCCGCACACCGUAGUACUCCUACAAACCCUACCGCCGCACUCAUCAUCGGUUUUCUUCAAGAGGACGAGGGAGAAGCCGAUUUGUAGUGGAGGCGCUUUUAAAAAAAGGAUCUGUAGUGGAGACCCCUACCCUAGGGUGCCCUAGGUAGCUGCCGCACGCAUCAUUGUUUUCUCUUUUCUUUAUGCUCUUGCGCCCUAGAGUGAAAUGAUGGUUGCUUCGUCCAUGCAGCUUAAUGCGGGAAAGGUGGAGCUUUGUGAUUUGACCCCUCGUCGCUCAUUUUCUACUACUGCGGCGCUACGACCGGGGUGCCUCCAAUUCCAACCGCUGCUCCAAACUGUAAUUUGGUGCAUCGCACGUGGAACAAGACGGUGGAUGAGCCACAUGUCGGCCAAAGGGGUCCUGUUAAGUGUGUCGCCAUUUCGUGUGCGGACUGACCCUGCUUGAGUUGCUACGCCAACACGACAGGAGCAGCCUACCACUUGGUUUUGCUCCUUGGUGAAUCCCGACUAUAUUGAUCUAAAAAGAUACGUGCUGAACUACCCUCUCCGUCUUGGUUUUUUUAUUUUUAGGCGUCUCGGUUUAUAGGGCCUGCACAUAGUUCUAGGUCAUCCAUUUGACUAACUAAAUAUGAGUUACUAUGUCACAAAAAGUAUAUCAUAUCAUAUUCUUAAGCGGAUGUAGUUGUAUUUAAAAGUCGAGGGCGGGGCUUUUCCUGCGCUGUAGGCGGCGGGGCAGUUCCGCCUAGUCGGUUCGACAGAGACGCGAGAAGACGAGGGAGUAGCUGCUGCAAACGUAGGGCUGUGUGAUUUGACAGCGAGUUACUGCUGGACAGGUGGGGCCCCGUGAUUUGACUUUUUUUGCGGGGUCCCGUGAUUUGACUUGCCAUUAUCAUUUUAACUGCGGCGCUACGACCGGCGUGAGUCUCCCAGAUUCCUGACCACCUCCAUACUGGUGACUCUCCCAAUGCUCCAGCAUGUAGUAGAGGCUGGCUCUUGCAUGAGAGCCCACUUCUCCACGUUUUCCUUGCCUCUAUUUCCUCCACAUAUGCAAAACUGCCAUGUAAAGCGCACUAUUGUACUUACUUUUACUUGCUCCUACAGGUGCUUAAGCUUGCCACAUAGGCAUAAAGUCUGAUGUGGCAAGUUAAUCAAGAAGAGAGAGACUAGUUUGGUGACCCAAGGAAGAAACGGUGCUAAGCGUGUGUACCUAGGUGAAAAGACAAUUUUGAGUCUAUAGCUAAUUAAAUGAAGCAAACUUAGCAACACCAUUUCAUUGGAAGAGGUCACUCCUUGGCAAAUGCAAUAAAUACACGCACUUACUAGCACCGUUUCUUCCUUGAGUACGAAGGAAGAGAUAGAGAGGAGUAACAAAAAAUACACUUAUAGCCAACUUUGUUGUAGUAUGAGUGACUAAGUGAUGACUAUGUAUGACAUGCCAACAUCAGAUAGCCUAACGCACCGUGUUAAAUCUCCAAGGGCGCGACCGCGCGAGCGACGCGACGGUCGUGGUAGGCGCGACCAUGAUACGAGCUGCUGGCAGCCCUUGGAUCUGAGAUCAAACAGUCGCAUGCUAAGUUGCUGAAAAUUUCCAGAAUAACCCUCCAGGAUAGGACAUUCACCCAUAGGUCUAGAAUCACGCCAUGCAACCAUUCGAUAUCAGAUCCAAGGGCUCUUGGAAGCCCGUAUCAUAGGAGAAUGGGAAGCCACUACCCUGCCGUUCGCACGCUGGCAGUUCGCUCCUACUCGUCCCCGCACGUCCUUCAAUACUACGGCGGUUCGCUCCUAGUCGUCCCGUCCAUUCACAUUACGGCAGUUCCACUAAUCCUAACCCUCCUCCCAAAUCCAUGGCGUCCCAAAUCUCCAGGAUCGGCGGUGAAUACAAGGUUAGAACCAUCGCCGGCGAUGAGUUCGACGUCAUCUACACCCGUUCUUCCGCGACGGUGAAAGGAUGCCUUUCUCGCUUCAGACGCAUGUUCGAAAACUCAGAUGAUGAGUGGGCCGCUGGGCUAGAUGUUGAGUACACCAUAGUCCUGGGACGAGAGAAGGACCUAAAGGACGAAGAGAGGAAGAAGCCCGCCGUGAUCUAGGUUUGCAUGCGUGACUUAUGCUUGGUCUACCACAUAUGCCAUGCCGACGUUGAGUGCCAGGAUUUUAAGGACUUCCUCGGGAGCAACCUAGUCAAAUUUGUUACUGUAGACUUUACAAACGAUGAAGAAGUCCUGGGUCGGAUAGGCCUCGUUGUAGGCAACCCCUUCGACCUCCAGAAGAAUCGGCUGGUGCCCUCUCGUCAGCCUUCAAUGCUGACCCUGGCAGGAGCCAUGGUUCAUCCUUUGUACGAUAAACUGGAGAAACCUGCACACACGUUUCAUCGUCAUGCAUGGUAGCGGAAUGUACUAGAUAUAGACCACAUCCACUACGCUGCAAUGGAUGGCUACCUUUGCUUCAAUAUCUACAAGGGUUGGAUGAAGAGCAGUAGCCAAUUGUGCGGUUCAAGCAAUGAAGUAUCAGCCAAGAGGAAGAGGGACAAGGACGAAGUCGAGGACGUGGACGAGGACUCCGAGUAAGGUGGCAGUGUCGUUACUCAUGGUGGUUCUAAUGCAGUGUCUACCGGAAUAGUUGCAAAGUUUAAUUUCAGGUGUGCUUAAUUUAGUUUGAGGGGUGUGUUGUGUUGAGCCCCCAGCAGAACUAUGUUAUGUUUCUUCUCGUUACUUUAACUCUUCAGUACGUACAUACUAGUAUUUCUUACAUUUCAUCUUUUAGUUGGUAUAGUACUACCACUCAUUUCUUCACAUUAUAUACGUACAAUAUAUAUGGCCAACAUCAUAUAGCCAGCAGUUUAGUUGUCAAAGAAUUUCAGGGUGCUUAGUUUUGUCAAAGAAUUCCAGGAUGCUUAGAGGGUGCUUGGAUCCAAGCGACUUAUUUCAGUCUGACUAAAAAUAGUCUCUUUAAGAGGCUAAAGUUCCAAGCACCCCUGACUAAAGAGGGGCUAAAACUAGUCUUGAGACUAAAAAUUUUUAGUCAGGGGUACCCCUACUAAAAUGUGGAUUAGUCAUCUCUCUACUCAUUUAACUCCUCUCCUUUAACACAGGCGAGUUCUGGAUUGGAGGGUUUGGGGGAUAAUAAAUGUUCAUAACUUGAUUUUAGCCUUUUUAGUAUUUGGAUCCAAGCAUGGGUGAGGCUAGCAUGUUUUAGUCCCACUACUUUUAGUCAUGGGACUAAAACGUAUCCAAGCACCCUCUUAGUUUUAUUUGAGGGGUGGGUUGUACUGGACACCAUUAUUGUGACUAGCCUUUUUAAUAGUACUAUAUGUAUAAUUUGGCGACAAGCACUCUCUAUAUGUACCACCUUUUUUUUAUUUCAAGUUUUGCUGCAUGGCGCAAUCCAUCGAUACUACUGUUGUACAAAAGUAUACAUUUUUUAAAAGGCUAGAGGGUGGGGCAGUCUAGCUUGGUCGGUUUCACGAGAGGCGAGGGUCUUUGUGAUUUGACGGCUCAUUACUGCUGGAAGGUGGGGCCUUGUGAUUUGACUGCUCGUAUAAAUGCGCCGACGACCUGAUCGAGGAGGAGCAAAGAACCGUGCGGUAUACUCAAGUUUUCCACUGGAGUAGUACUGCGAUGGAGGAGCACGAAACAUGGCAGCCCAGUGCCAUAUGGCGAUAAAAAUGAUCUAAUUUGCUAGUCAUCCCAUUGUUAGCAUUGUUCUAUUCAUUCCUACAAAAAACAUUGUUCUAUUCAUGCCUCGCAGAGAACGUGACACAUGCGGCGAAACACCCGAAGCAAAAGAUGAAACACAGGAGCAAAAGAAGAAGGAAGAUUAUCACCCCAAAUGAUCUAAUUCGCCGCGGAGUCGUAACUGCGUCUUCAUCGCCUCCAUGACCUCCAUCUCCUUGCGCGUCUCCUCUGCCAUCUUCAUCAUUGUGUCCAUGACGCGGCAUUCCUCGACGCGAGCCUUCGUCAUCUGUUCCACGGCCAUAUUACGUACCUUGACAGCAGUCGGGUGCUCGAUGUGGAGCUUCGCCAACUCUUCCUUCUGUUCCAUGGCGAGGGCCUGCAGCAUCUUCAUCGAGGAACUACUAUUCCCAUGCAGCUUCUUCCAACCGGCGUUCUUCUCCUUCAACAGGUCGAUCUCGUGGCAGAGCUUCGCAUUGUCCUCCCGAAGUCGCAGGAUUUCGCCGGUCGCCUUCUUCUCCGAGGAAAUGCUCUUCUUCAGCAGCAUCACCAAGCCGGCGGUCAACUCCCCCUGCUGAUUGAGCUCAGCGGGCAUGUCGUCGAGGCUCUCCUUCAGCAACUCCAUCAAGCCUUGGAUGAACUCCUUCUGCUUAUUGAGCUGAUCGGGCAUGCCGUCGAGGGAUAACGACACUAGCUCCGCCGGCUCGGCAUGUUAGCCUCCACGGCUAGGGCGCUCCUGGGAGCCAUCGCCUGCCCAUGAGAAAUCUUUCGAGGUCCCUGCGUGGCGGCGAGCCCUCUCUUUUUUUCCGCAGCCUUGGUUGCCGCUCCCUUGUAACGAGUAGUUCUCGACCUAGAGCUCUGCUCACCGGCCAUGGCAACGACGGACGAAGAAGAAGCACUUAUGAGGAGGAAAGGUAGAGUGAUUUUCGAUUAGGUAGUUCCCCUUUUUAUAACCUAAGUACUAGCACUAGUACUAAUACCUGCAUAGUGGGAACACGUUCAGGUUUGGUACGUACUACUAGUAGGUGUAAGCAGGCCGGCUUUCGAAUGUGAUGGUAACAAGGUAAAGAUUAAUUGAUGGUUUUGUUUUCGAGGCCCGAAACGGCUCCCGAUGAGUUUAGCGGAACAUAAAUUUCAAGUACUACACUGCUCAUAUGCGUAAAUAUUAUGUUACUGUCAAAAAUUGGCACAAAAUACGAAGGAGACCAAUGAAAGUACUACCAGCAACCCACGAUUUAACUAGUACUCGCAUGCGCGAAGUGGAGUAAUAAUGUCUUUCUUCCUCCCUCACGUCCACUCAAUUUGCAUGCGCUGUAUUAAUUGACCAUCAAUGAAGUGAACGACUUUACACGCGUCAAAUUAUCACAUGGGGUGGAUCUUGGUACAAAAUUGCGUCCGCCCAUGUACCCGCGUGUGCGUGCGAGGAAUGAGUGCAUGCAUGGCGUGCGUGCACAUCUUUGCUUCGUGCAUGUACCGCCAGUAUGGCUCAGGGAGGACGAGUACAUUCUUCUGGAACCAGCAGCACGUCACUGUGAUCAAUCCACGCAAGGAGGUCGCGACAACGCCUACACAUGUGCCACGUGGCUUCAUGAACUGUAAGAGAGACACUGUGUAGCGUGCCAUUGGUAUUCUAAUUUACGUGUUUUGCACAAACUCGAAGUACUAGUAAGGUACACGUGCAUUGCAUGCAUCAGAUUUUGCAACCAAAUUAUAAAUAAAUACCAGCAUGUAAGCUCUGAGUCAUAUAUGCUUGAUGUAGCCCUUCGUGUAAUUCUUACAGUUCAUCUCAUUCAAAAUCAAUUACUCCCUCCGUAAAGAAAUAUAAGAACGUUUAGAUCACUAAAGUAGUGAUAUAAACGCUCUUAUAUUUCUUUACAGAGGGAGUAGUUUUUAUAAAAAAGCUAAGAACGCGGGAAUAGGAAAAACAUGGGAUUAUAGUGGAAUGUCGUCUUGAAUCCUACAGGAUUGUAUGAGUGUUUGAUUGUGCAUAGAAAAAACGCAGAAUUCUUUCAAAGAGGUUUGAGUGGAUGGGAUGUUUCCUAUGAAAUCUAGUGCAAAUGAAUCAUAUGGAAAAAUUCCUAUGGUUUACAAUCCUACAAAUCAAACAACCAAGAUAGGAAAAAUUCCUAAUGAUUAGAACCCUCCAAAAUUCCUUUGAGAAUCCUUUGAAUCAAAGAAGCCCUUAAUCUAUUUUAUGAUUCGUGGAAUUGUGCGUUGUAAAGCAUAAAGUAAAAACAAAUAAUGGCAAUUCAACUAGAAAAAAAGUUUGGGCAGUUAUGAUAUGGAAGAUUCUAGAACAAAAGAGAAUUACUGUUGUUUUGAGGUUUGUGCAUUAUGCUUAAGUUCAACCAUGGAGUGCUAGAUUGUACAUGUGGCAAAAUCCGGUGGGGAGCUAGAAGAUGGUGCGAGGGGCCGAGUGGAGGGAGACUAUGAAGGAAUGCACAAGUGCGAGAUCGAUAUUUAGAGAGAGGGGGCGAACACGUGCGCUGAUGCGCGCAGUGGCGGAGCCAUGAAAAAUAAAUGAGCUAGGGGGCCAAGAAUUGCCAAUCCUUUAUGAGGAGGGUCAAUUCAUGAAUUUAAACCAUUUUAGCAGCAAUUGUCUAAUGAUCACAUUCAUAUUAGCCUUGAUAUAUAGUGAUGUUAGGGGGGAGGGGGCAGGGCCCUUACUGCCCCCUGUCUUCGCCAUUGUGCACGCGUCUGAGAGAUGAAGCGGAAGGCAUGGGUGAUGAGAGGGGGACGUUGGAUACAUAAUUAAUAUGGGUGUAUUAGCUAUAUAUGUUAAUCCUAUAUAGAGAGGUAUAGAUUGAUCGAUGUGGACGUGGGAAAGAGAGUGAGACCUCACUGGAUAUAUCGAUUGAUCGAUUUGUGUGGAAAACUAUGAAAGACCUAGCUAUAUACACACAUACAUAGAGGAACAUCGGUCGUUGCGCAUGCACGCGUGAGAGAUAAAAAUGCCCGAUAUGAUGGAGAGGGGGAUGUGUGUUGGUGUGUGCCUUCAUGGGAGACCGACCUAAAGAAAAAGAUUGCAUGCGUGCGAUGGAUAGUGCCGACUGGUAGUCUGUGUGCAUGCAUGCACGAGAGAAAGUUAGUGGUACAAUUAUAAAGAGAAGACUAUUGUGUGGGUGUAAAAGAAUAGCUGAAUAGGUGAGGUCACAAUCAAUGUAAAGUUGAAUUCAAAUAUUUGAAUAAGAGAUCCUGAUGUUUGAAACCCAUGCAUGCAUGAAUAUAACGGAGAUCUGCGCGGUGUGGUUUGGAAACGAGCAUGUUGUAAUGUAUACACAUUGAACAAGGUCAGACUGAUUUGAAUUUGAGAUACCGAUGGCAGACAUCAUUUGGCCACGUCGCAUCCGUGCAUGGACACACUAUUCUAAUUGGAGAUGAUGGGCGGCUUUUGCAUCACAUAUCUAUAUCUAUACCCCUAUAUAUAUAUAUAUAUUAUAUUAUAUUUUUUUUAUUGUGUGCAGGUAACUUUAACUUUGAAAGAUGGUCGUUGGAUGAGGCGAAUCCGAUGGUCCAAAGAUGGCAAAUUUGAGCACUACUAGCCGUUGGAUAUCAUCUAGAUUCCACCAGAUUUCGCCACAUGUAUAAUCUAAAAGACUCCAUGGUUGAACUUAAGCAUAAUGCACAAACAUCAAAACACAAGCACUUCUUAUUUGUUCUAGAAUCUUCCGUAUCAGAAUUGCCCAAAUGUUUUUCUACAUGAUUUGCCAUUAUUUGUUUUUACUUUAUGUCUUACGACGCACAAUUCCAUGAAUCUUAAAAUAGAUUAGCUUUCUUAUAAAAACUAAAUAAUUUUGAAUGAAAUGAACUAUAAGAAUUAAACGAACAUCUACAUCAUGCAUAUAUGACUCAAAGCUUGCAUGCUAUAUUGUGGUAUUUAUUCAUAAUUUGGUUGCCAAAUCUCAUGCGUGCAAUGCACGUGUACCUUACUCUAGUCUAAAUGGUGUUUGUGUGUGUGUUGUGCGUGUUGAGGUGCAAAUUGUCUUUUUUGGGGUACAUGUUAAGCUUGUUCUUCCGAAAUUUCAAGCCGCGCCUUGUUAUGCCGAAAAUUCAAGCUAGCGUCUCUGUCUAUCGUGCUGCGAAACUCCCGCCUCUUCAACCCGCGCCUUGUUAGCCCGAAAUAUUUAAGAUAUAUCUUUAUCUCGUUGUGCUCUGACAACUCCCUCCAUCUCAACCCGCGCCUUGCUAUUCCGAAAUUACAACGCGCGUGAAAACUCCCACCUCCUGUAAAAUCCCGACACGCGAAAUGCCCGUGGUACCCCUGAACCAAAAGAACCGCCUCAAAUCGGUGGGGGUACUUUCAUAACUUACCCCACAUUUCGGACAAGCGCGUCUCUAAGCCAUGGUUCCCCACUACCAUCCCAUCCACCCACCCAUUCGUACACCGAGGCCGCAAAAACCCGCGACGAAACCCCACACCCUGCUCCGUCCGCCACCCAGCCGGAGCCUCUUCCCCGACGACGUCGUCCACAGCAACACCUCGACGUCCCUCAUCCACCGUACCGGAUGAGGAUCCAUCGUCGAUCUCAUCGUCCCGCCGGUUCAGCCACCCCGUCCUCCACCUCCAAGGAGCUGCCCCAACGUUCCCCUCGUCUUUCGCGCCACCUCCAUUCCCACACCGCCGUCUUCACCUACACCACUGGAAGAGCAUCAUCAUCACCAUUUCCUCGGAUGAAGCUGCGGCCUAAUCGGCGCCACCAAUGAGGUUGUACACUAAUCGCCGCAUUUUAUUCUUGAUUCGAUCUCAUGGUGCUGCCGGCACUCGGCCCCGAGCUGACACGGCGCGACUCCAUCCACAGCGGCGUCGCCGGCCACUUCCUCCACGGCGUCGCUCCCUCGGCGGCGACGUCCACAUCAGUAGGACAUGCUGCUGCUUUAGCUCUCGCUCGCGCUGCUGCUCUGCUCUUGCUCUCGGUCCCCUGCCUGCUCUGCUCUUGCUAUUGCUCUUGCUCGCGCUGCUACUCUCGCUCUUGCUCUUGCUUGCGAUGCUGCUCCGAUUUAGCUACACUUCAGUCGACUGCAUCGACUNNNNNNNNNNNNNNNNNNNNNNNNNNNNNNNNNNNNNNNNNNNNNNNNNNNNNNNNNNNNNNNNNNNNNNNNNNNNNNNNNNNNNNNNNNNNNNNNNNNNNNNNNNNNNNNNNNNNNNNNNNNNNNNNNNNNNNNNNNNNNNNNNNNNNNNNNNNNNNNNNNNNNNNNNNNNNNNNNNNNNNNNNNNNNNNNNNNNNNNNNNNNNNNNNNNNNNNNNNNNNNNNNNNNNNNNNNNNNNNNNNNNNNNNNNNNNNNNNNNNNNNNNNNNNNNNNNNNNNNNNNNNNNNNNNNNNNNNNNNNNNNNNNNNNNNNNNNNNNNNNNNNNNNNNNNNNNNNNNNNNNNNNNNNNNNNNNNNNNNNNNNNNNNNNNNNNNNNNNNNNNNNNNNNNNNNNNNNNNNNNNNNNNNNNNNNNNNNNNNNNNNNNNNNNNNNNNNNNNNNNNNNNNNNNNNNNNNNNNNNNNNNNNNNNNNNNNNNNNNNNNNNNNNNNNNNNNNNNNNNNNNNNNNNNNNNNNNNNNNNNNNNNNNNNNNNNNNNNNNNNNNNNNNNNNNNNNNNNNNNNNNNNNNNNNNNNNNNNNNNNNNNNNNNNNNNNNNNNNNNNNNNNNNNNNNNNNNNNNNNNNNNNNNNNNNNNNNNNNNNNNNNNNNNNNNNNNNNNNNNNNNNNNNNNNNNNNNNNNNNNNNNNNNAUCGCCGGAGAAAAAGCUCGGCAUGGGGGGCCUAGAGGGAUGGCCGGGGCGGCGGCGGACCGGCGGUGGGGAGUGUUUUCGGGGCGGGCGGGGCGGCGCACCGCCGGCCGCGAGCGGCGGGGGGCUGCUGUUUGGCCAGCUCAGGGGGGUGGAGGUUGAAGAUGAACCGCAGGCCCUUGAUUUCGUAUCCAACGGCUGCAAAAUCGACUGGCAGAGAUGAAAAAGUCAGUCGACCAACGUGUAGCCUCACCUUGCUAGUGCGUUCGGUUUUGACAGUUAAGUUCAGUUUCGACAGUUAAGUUCAGUUUCGACAGUUAAGUUCAGAGAUGAGCGGCUGAUGUAUUUUACAUCUAGCACUUUGUGGUUAUGUAUUUUAUGUCAUGUAUUGGAGAUGCUAUUAGAAUUCCACUUAGGUUAACGUUGUUCGUUGUCUCUCUUGUCCUGCUUCAAACUCGGUGUCGUACAACUCACCGGAGCUGCUCCAAUGACGAAACCCUCCAUCACAGUGGAGCAGUACCUCGGGCUCCAUCUCCAGACGCCUAAGAUCUUCUUCCCCUCCUCCAACAGCCAAGUCAGCCGGAGCAUCCUCACCGGCCAACCCAAUCACGCUGAGAUCAACAAGGCUUCGCCAAAGAGGUUCUACACUUGUUGCAUCUCUUUUUUACUCUACAUAUUAUAUAUAUUGUCCACUAAGCACUCGUAGUAACGGCAAGUACGAUUAUUUUAUCCUACUAUAUGACAAGCAGUGAGGUACCGGGCAACUUAGCUAUCCGUGAUGCACUCUCUUGAACGCCAUCAUUAUUUAUCUCUGCGCGUUUCAGCUGUGCGUUUGUCAAUGGGCCUGGGAGUUGAGCUAGUAUGGUAGUGGCCUGGGUCCAAAGUAAUAGAAGUAGCACAAAAACAUUUUUUUAGUGUAGGAUUUUCCUUGCUCAAGCCUGCCUACUAGAGUCGCCAGUGCUUGAAAGGAAAAGUGAAUGAAAAACAUCGGAAUUGGAAAGUUUCCUAUGGUACUACUUUUCAUGAAUUUGGUGCAAAGGAAUGGAGCAAAGAAAAACUGUAGGAUUUUCUCCUUUAGUGUCUCCUUGAAAGAAAAACCAUAGGAAUUCUAAUUUCCACUUCUCCUCCUUUUCAUAUUCCUAUUCAUCAAGCACAAGACUAAGAGAUAGUAGCAUAAUAGCAUUAUAACCGUACAUUUUCUUGUGGUUUGACUUAAUCUCACAAUGCUUUUUUGCAUCCUGUGAUCUUCCAAUUGUUGUGAAUCAAACAUCCAGAUUGGCAGAAAUCCUGUGUUUUUAAACUCUCUGUUUUGCACGUGCAUUUCUAUCCUAUUCUUGUCUAUUUCCUAUCCCUGCAUUGUUAGAAUCCUCAAAUUCAAACAAGCCCUUACUCAAUUACUUCUGUUACAGAUAUGUGUCAAAGAAAACCUUGUGUGGUUUGUCCUGCUCCUGCGGCGCUGUGUUCCACCCCAGCUCAGCUGCUCCAAUGACGGAAGGGUUCACCACAGCAGGGAUCCGCUCUCCAGACUGUCUUUCACCGCCUCAGAUCUUCUUCCCCGCCGCCGGCAGCCACGGCAACUGCAUUACCAUCAUCAACUGAGCAGAUGACCUUGAGGACUACACGGGUCCGCAAGAGAGGUCACACUCUUCCGUGUCUGCUUACGUUAUGCGUCGCUUAAUAUGAUGACAUGCUUAAUUAUCAACGUGUUCACCUAUUAGACUCCGAGUCAGGUCCAAACUAAUGCUGAAACUUGAGUUUUUAAAUGGUUGUGGGGUACAUAUUGGGGCAACAAUCAAUACUAUCUGUCUACUAUCUGGUUCAUCUCCGGUGUCUACUAUGAGUUUCAUGUUGGGUGCAAACAAACAUUAAAGGAGCCAGUAUCUGUAUAUUUUAACUAAAGCUAUUAUCUGCCUGCUAUCAUUGGUUUUGGGUCUAUCCAUAGUUUGCUACCAUCACUCUGGAUUUGUGCAUGCACUCCUUACAUAAUCUCACUAUGUUUUAUUCCUAUGCAUGACAGUUAUUGUACACAAUGGAACUGAUCAUGUAGAGCAAAAGAGACGAGCCUUGCAUGGCAAUAAAAUUUCAUGCAGACGUCGUUCCAUGCUGGGCGCAAAGGCAGCCCCCCCUCCACCCAUUUCGGAUCGUAAUCAAGAGGAAGAUAACUAUUAUGAGGGGGAUUCAGAAGGAGAAGACCACUCCUAUUUACCCCAUGAGGUCUUCGCUCUAACAUGGCAUGCUGAUGUUGGUAAUAUCAUGCAUAUGGUGCCUUGCAUUGCUUACUGUAUACAUUAAAGAUGUCAUCUGCUUAGUUUAGACAUGCUUUGUGUCAAUGCCAUCUGUUUAGUUUCUUUAUCGUAUAUGUGAAUCAUGCAAUGCCAUCUUGUCUAGCCAGGCAUCAUAUAUGUGAAUUUUGCAACGCCACCCUGGUUAGCCAGUCAUCUUAUAUGUGAAUUAUAUCAUGCCAUCAUUUUUUUAUUACGUGUUAAAUUUUUCAACAAUUUUAGUACAUUCAAUUACUCUUCCUGUGCAUCAGCCAUUUGGCACGGUCAUGGAAAAAUCUGGAGUGGAAACAAGGUCUUCAGAGCAGACAAUGCUAUCUGACGAAGCGCANNNNNNNNNNNNNNNNNNNNNNNNNNNNNNNNNNNNNNNNNNNNNNNNNNNNNNNNNNNNNNNNNNNNNNNNNNNNNNNNNNNNNNNNNNNNNNNNNNNNNNNNNNNNNNNNNNNNNNNNNNNNNNNNNNNNNNNNNNNNNNNNNNNNNNNNNNNNNNNNNNNNNNNNNNNNNNNNNNNNNNNNNNNNNNNNNNNNNNNNNNNNNNNNNNNNNNNNNNNNNNNNNNNNNNNNNNNNNNNNNNNNNNNNNNNNNNNNNNNNNNNNNNNNNNNNNNNNNNNNNNNNNNNNNNNNNNNNNNNNNNNNNNNNNNNNNNNNNNNNNNNNNNNNNNNNNNNNNNNNNNNNAACAUGGCAGGGUUAUGUUGCUCAUAUCGUGCGUAUGGUAUCUUGCAUUGCUAUGUCAUUUGCUUAGUUUAGACAUGCUUUGUGUGAAUGCCAACUGUUUAGUGUCUAAUUACCAUAUAUGUGAAUUAUGCAAUGCCAUCUUGUUGCAAGACAUUAUAUAUGUGAAUUAUGCAAUGUUAUCUUGUCGCAAGGCAUUAUGUAUGUGAAUUAUGCAAUGUCAUGCUGUUUAGGCAAGCGUCAUAUAUGUGAAUUAUAUCAUGCCAUCCUUUUUUUGUAUUUCUCAUUGCUUUUGUCGACAAUGUUUGUAUAUUCAACUGCUCUUCCUGUGCAUCAGCCAUUUGAAUUGGUGAUGGAGAAAUCUGGAGUGAAAACAAGGUCUUCAGAGCAGACAAUGCUACCUGCCGAAGCAGAUAUCUUGCUGGUUACAGAUAGCUCUUCAGAGGAGGAUUCAGAGGUAGAUGACCAGUCCUAUUAUCCCCCUGAGGUGUAUGCUCAAACUUGGCAGGGUUAUAUUACUCAUAUAAUGCAUAUGUUGUGUUGCAAUGCUUAGUUUUUACAUCAUAUACACAAUAUUGAAUGCCAUCUUCUUAGUUGAUACAUCAUAUAUGCGAUUGCCCUCUGCUCACUUCCUUAGUAUAUAAAUCAUAUAUUUGAAUUAUGUCAUGCCAUGAUGUUUACAUAGACAACAUGUAUCUAAAUUAUGGCAUGCCAACCCAUUUUCUAAAGACAUAAUAUAGUUAUAUCAUCUCAUCCUGUUUACAUAGUCAUCAUAUUUAAAUUAUGUCAUUCUAUCCGUGAAUUAUAUCAUGCCAUCAUGUUUCCAUCAACAUCAUGUUUGUGAUUUAUGGCAUGCCAACCACUUUAAUAGACACAUCGUAUACUUAUAUCAUGUCAUCAUGUUUACAUAGUCAUCAUAUUUUGAAGUAUGCCAUUCUAUCAUGUUUAGUUAGCCAUCAUACAUGUGAAAUUGUGUCAUGCUAUCCUGUUUAAUUAGUCAUCUUAUAUGUGAAAUUAUGUCCUGCUAUUCUAUUUGCUUAGACAACAUAAAUGUGAAUUAUUUCAUGCCCUGUUUUCUUCCCUACUAUCCAUUGCACCUGUCUAUCUUACAAUGUCUGUACAUUCAAUUACUUUUCUUUUUUAUCAGCCAUUUCAAUUGGAGGGAGUGAUGGCAGUAUCUGUGGGAGUAAAAAAUGGUCUUCAGAAAAGAUCGUGCUACCUGUCGAUGCAGAUAGAACCACGGUUGUACUUGCCCAAGAACCAGCCCCACCACACAUAACCCACACUCAUGCAGAUUGUACCCCUACCCAGUUGGACAGAGAACCAGCUACACCCCUUCUAACCCCAACCCCAGCAGAUAGACACCCAGUUCCCGUUGACACAGCACCGUCUCCACCACAGAGCAACCAAACACGAGCAGUUAGUAAGGCAACUACAGUGCCCAAAUCACGAGGACCACCACUCCGAACCCGAAGUCAACGCUUAAAGCAGAAGAAGAAUUGUUCUCAGGUCAGGUUCCAUAGCUAUGGUUCAUACUACUUUGCUCUUGCAUCACUGUAUUUACUGAUACCAACUAAUUUCAAAUUUGAAGGAUGCAAUUGAAACUCCAAUGGCGCAACAGGUAUGUUUUAAACCUGUUUCUUCAACGUGUUUGGCUGUUUGCUGUUGUAACUUGCUCUAUGUUGAUUUCAGUUUCAAUUGAAUAAACAGUUAUGUUCUCAUGCCAUGCACAUUACAAGUGUUGUUAUUGAUGUGUAGUCUCCCACACUUAUAUUCUGUCUAUGCUGCUUUGUCUUAAAUAGAUAAGAUUCGGACUGUAUCUAUCUUGAUUUGGCAACAUAAACUAGAAUGAUAUAGACCAUACAGUGACCAUACUACAUAGAUAUAUGUUUGUUUCAUGUUGUUAUCCCGUCGACCUUACUACUGAACUGGUUUACCAAAAUGAGUUUCAUAUACUACAUUGUAAACCUGAGAUGUGUUUGUUUGUUUCUCUUUUAGAACGCGGAUAAAAUAUUGGAGAAGAGUACCGUGUUAUGCAAUGGUAAAGGAAGUAAUGCAGAUAAGGUUCAAGAUAGUGAGACAUCCCUGUUGGUCUCCAAGAAAGCUGAUAAAAACUAUAUUGAAGACACUGAGACAACCCCAAAGUCCUGUCUUGAUGUAGUGUUCGAGUUACUAGCUACCACAGCUGGCACCAGCUCUUCGAACUCAUUACCUGAAUCAGUUCGGCUUCUUGAGUAUCAACUUCAAGUUGAAAGACAUCGAUCAGAUGUUAUGCGACAGGAAGCUGAAGGACUAAGGAAGUCCCUGCAGAAUUUAGAUGCAUACUUUCUGGUGCAACAGCAAGCGCUGGAGGACUUAAGUGCCAAACAAGAGAAAGUUAAUAAGCUUGCUAAGCAUCUUGCCAGCAUUAUGGGUACCCAGGAUAUUGUUUCUUGAGCUCUUCUGAAGUGGUUUUAGUUCUGGACUUAUUUUGCUGCGGCGUUUAUAUGCUGCUGUGUUCCCUAUAUUUGCACUGGUGGCGAACUUUGAUGCCCAGUGGAUGUAAUAUGUGUAAUAGCCGUGAUAGCUUAGCAUAAGUUGCUUGCUUAUUUAUUUCCUUGUUGUGUUGUUUAUUUGUUUGAUUGUAGUCAGUGCAGUUCUUUUUCCGCGGUUUGCUAGUGGCUGCAAUAAUCUAUUUUUUAAAACUAGGCCACAAUAACCAUGGGCUAAUAUAUAUUGUAGUGACACUGGGCCUCCUACGAGCCGUAGAAACAGUGGGCCUUCUACGGGCCAUAGAAACAAUGGGCCUUCUACGGGCCGUAGAAACAAUGGGCCUUCUAUGGACCGUAUCAUCAAUGGGCCUUAUACGGGCCGUAUGAUCGAUUGGCCAAACAUGGGCCAAUAACAGGCCGCAUUAUGGCCGUAAACGGGCUAGAGUUGGAAUUGUCCGUUCAUGGGCCGACCAUAACGGGCCAUCGUUAAUAGGCCGUAUUUGAUGACGCUAUGAAAACGGCCCAAUGAAUUAACGGACCACAAACAGGCCGACUGUAACCACGGGCUGAAUUUGACCCACAAGCAGAAAAUGACAGUAACAGGUCGUAAGUAAAUGAAUGCUGGAAAUGAGCCCAAGAAUAAAUGGGCUCUGAGAAGGCCGAAAGAUAACAUGGGCUGGAAACGGCCCAACGGAAUAACGGGCCGUUAAUGGGUAUAAAGUUAUACACUGUUUAUUACGGGCCAGUUUCACCACGGGCCGUUAAUGGGUGUAAAGUGAUACACUUUUCAUUACGGGCCAGUUUCACCACGGGUCGUUAAUAGGCCAAGAGUUACAUAGGGCCUCAUAUGGGCCGAAAGACGUCAUGGGCUAUACAUGGGCCAGAAGUGAAAACGGGCUGGAAUCAUAUUGGAUGGCCCAGAUGACGCUACUGGGCCUAAUUCGGAUAGGGCGUAACGGGCCUUGGGUUAGCGGGCUGUAAAUGGGCUAUAUUCGACCAGGCCGUUAACAGGCUUUCCAUGGGCCGGCCCGCCAGCUUUUGACCAAGUCAAACGGGCCGGCCUUUUCACAGGAAUGGGCCUCUGCUGGGCCGUGCCACGUGUCGACGUAUCAUAGGCGCCUUCCGUCCAAUGAGUGGUUGACAUCUGUCCCAACGAUGGGCCGACACGUGUUUCCUCCAGCCAAUGAUGAUUUUACACGUGGAAAAUCCCCAUUGGUCGGGGCUGUUAACGGGUUAUCGGAUCCAAAACCCGACCCGAUAGCUUAACGGCGUUCCAUUACGGUGGAUGCCACGUGUCAGUCACCCUUGAUGAAAGCACUUCUGUGACGCGCGAUUUAUCGUCAUGGAAGUGGACACUUCCAUGAUGAUAAUUUUGGUAAUGUCAUGGAACACUUCUACGACAGCACAGGUAUGACUAUCUUGAUUCUGUCAUAAAUUUGUCAUGGAUGUACAUGCAUGACAAAAAAAGCGACCUACUAUGACAAACACGUAUCAUCACGGAAGUGUAUUUUUUUUGUAGUGCACCACGACGCCCUUUGGAGUUACCAGAGCGUCCGCCUCCGCGUGAGUUGUUGGAGUAGCCACCACCGCCGGAGCCAAACUUCCCCUUGUCACGGGAAGAUGAGCGCGAGCGAGAGCCACCACCGUGGCCUCUGGAUGCAGAGUUGGCCGAUGAUUUGAAGCCACCGCCGGAGCCAUGAUACUGCGCCAUGCGUUGAUCAAAGUUACUGAGCAUGGCAAAAAGUUCAUCGAGGGUUACCGGGGUUACACGGGCAUCUAGUACGGAGACGAGGGGCUGAUACUCUUGGUCCAGCCUGUGGAUGAUGUAGGAGAUGAGCUCGUCGUCCUGGAUGGUUUUUCCCGCCGCGACGAGUUCAUCGGCGAGACCCCUCAUGGCGGCGAAGAAGGUGGCCACCGAUUGAUUGCCCUUAUGCGCAUUGAUCAGCGCUAUGUGGAUGUUGUUGACGCUGCUGAGUGACUGCGACGAGAACAUGCUCGCCAGCGCCACCCAGAGUUUGCGCGCCGUGAUGAUCGUGUUCACCGUGACGAGCACCUCCUUGAAGAGGUGUUGAAGCAGAUAUCCAAGGACCUGCUGAUCCUCCCUCACCCAAAGCGGAUGAAGGGGAUUCGGCCCAGUGGUCUCCUUGCCAGCGGCGUCCUUGGUGGUGAGGAAUUUGGCCGGCUCAGUUGCCGUGCCAUGGACAUAGUGGAAGACGCUGGCGCCCCGCAACUGCGGCGUGAUCUGUGUCCGCCACAGGACGUAGUUGGUGCGGGUGAGCUUCUCCGGGGCUCCACCGCCGAGCGUCGACUGGAAGGAGGCGGAGGAGGAAGACAUGGCUGCGCGCAGUGCAGACAGUUGGCUAGGCAUGCGUGAGUCAAAAUCACAGAGAUGUAUAGGAGGCACCCAGCGUUCGCCCAAGAGAUCCAUCAGUUCAAGAGAAUUUUCUUCAGAAUUGCAAUUAAUACUUAGACUUUCAAUGUGAUGUAGGUUCCCCAGAGACUUCACGAAACCUUCAUACAAAUCCAAACUACCAUCCUUGAAGUAAAUCUGAAGCUCCCUCAGCCUUGCCAGGUUGCCAAGCUCUUGUGCAAUAAUGUUUAGAGAGACCAAGAUCCCCCGCAACACUUCUAUGGAUGUCAGACUCUGCAACAGACCUGGAGUUGCAACCACCAUACUAGGAAAAACGUUUAGGUAGAUUAAUCUUCUCAACUUCCGAAUAGUGGAAGGCAAUUCCUGUAGCUCAAAAUUGCCUCUAAGAUCCAACACCUCCAAAAACUGCAGGUUUCCUAUCUCAGCCGAGAGUUCCCUAAUUCCAGUACCUGCUAGACCAAGGUACCUCAAGUGAACAAAGUGUCCAACACCCUUGAGGUUAAGUUGCAGGGUGCUACUUUUCCCCGGAUAAUAGUGAGGCAGAUCAAGUACACGCAAAACUUCAAACCUUGAUAGGGCUGGUAAGAUAUUAAUAGCAGAUGUAAAGAUAGUAAUGGACCUCACUCGUGAUAUAUCCGUAAUACUUCUAAGAGGUGUGCCUUGAUGAUCUUUAUUUCUAUCUUGAAAGGACAAACGACGAACAUUGCCAUGUAAAGACAUACUAUCCCUAGUACCAUCCAAUACAUUAACAAACUUUGCUUCAUGUGACAAGUUGCAGAUAAGAUCAAGAACCAUAUCAUGUACAUGGCAAGCAUGUACCUGGCCUAGAUCAUCAUAUAUUGGCUGGAUCAUACUUCUAUUAAUGAGCUGGUUGAAGUAACUUAAUCCGAGCAAAAACAGGCUUGUCCCUUGAUUUCCAUGGUGGACAAAUCCUUCGGCCACCCACUUCCAUAUCAGUCUAUCUCUAUAAAUCUCACUAUCUUCUGGAUAUAUACAUAGGUACAAUAGACAAGUUUUCAGAUGAGAGGGUAGAUUAUAAUGGCUGAAAGAUAGUAUACUCCGCAUCUCCUCUAAAUUGUUAUCUUCUGUUAGUCCAGAGCCAAGGGACUGGAGUAGAAUAUCCCACUCAUGCUUUGGUUUCACGUGAUGGCCACUAGCCAAAGCACUAGCAAUAGUAAUGAUGGCUAGUGGUACCCCACCACAUUUUUUCAAUAUAUCUUUAGACACUUGUUCAAAUUCAUUUGGACAACCACUCUUGUCAGGAAAUAUUCUCUUAUGGAGGAGCCUUCUGGAAUCAUCAGUAGAAAGAGGUUUCAUUUGAUAAACUGAAUCAUUAGCCGACGAGCAACAUGAAUUGGAGACACUAACAAUUCGGGCUUGGUGACUAGCCGACUGCCUAGAUUAUUCCUGUUAGAGAAAGCCAAGUUGAUGCCUUCCCACAAUUUUUCAUCCCAUAUAUCAUCAAUUAUGACGAGAUACCUACAUUAGUUCAGAGUAUAAGUGUAAGGUCUAUAGACAUCACAAAGCUGAGUGCCAUAUGAAUAUAUGGGUGGAACUAUAUAUACAUCUAUAAGUGCACAUAUUCAAAAACAAACUAAUCAGAUUCAGGCGUCUCAAUCUUGACAAUCUGAUUUCAAUAAUUGUGCAUUAUGAACUGCCAAUCAGAUAAUGAAUAAAAUGAAUACAAAUUUAAGAUUCAAGGGAGUAAAACACAAAGAGCAAAUUGCUGCAUCAAUGACAUAGAUAGAAGUACAGUUAAUUUGUUACACCGUCUGAUCCAAAAUAUUGUGUGAACUAAAACCACGACACUUAUUUUGGAUCGGAGCGAGUACAACAUUUCAAUUAUUACAAUGGUUAGGUAGAUUUAUUGGAAUGAUCGGAGCACUGAUUUGCCCACUAAUAUACUGUAUGGCCGUUGAUGAACUUCCCGGAGACUCAAAUUUUACAUGACAUUAUCCUUUCGAGUAUAUUCUGCUGAUAGUAGGUUUGUAAACAAGGCGAAAAGGGGGAAUAGAAUGUGAUAUCGAAGAGCAAAUUUAACUUCUUGGUGUAUUAAGAGCAAAAGGGUAGCCUUUGGUGCAUGAUGCACCGUUUAGAUCUUUGUUUUAAUGGGGUGGGUAGGGAUAAAGAAAGAACUAAGUGUGUUCUUUCCUUUACAUUUUGGUGUAUUAUUUGGUACAAGUGUUAUUAUGCUCAUUAUUUAUAACUUUGAUGAAAUGUACAACGCCGAGAUGAAUUUCUUAGACCAAUUGCAAUAAAUUUAAGCCACUGUAAUUACUGCAAUGAGAAGUAUUUUACUUUCUUCAGAUAAAGGAGGGGGGAUCAAACAUAUAUACUCAUACAGUCUUGAAACUUAGUACCUAUAACUUUGCGGUUUACUGACCUUAAUGAAAAAUUAUUCUGAACCGGCCUUCUAUGUGAUGGUUACAAUGUAUUUGUACAUUAUUAGUUAGACAACUAGCAUAGGAAGCGGACAUAUCAUAGUAGUAUCAUUUUUGCUGCAAGUGAUGCAUACCUCUUGUUCUCAAGAAAUUCAUGAAGCUUGUUGAUAAGCUGCCUUUCAUCCAACAUAACAACAUCUGAGUGGGAUUUUCCGAGAUCAAUAAGGAUAUCCCUAAAAACCUUCCUGACAUCAGGGUUUUGACCGACGGGGACAAAUGCCUGACAAUCAAAAUCACCUUUAAUCUUCUCGUAUACUGCUCUAGCAAGAGUGGUCUUUCCCAACCCUCCAAAUCCAACAAUGGAGAUCUUCUUCAGUUUCUUGUUAGAUGCAUCGUCGCCCUCAAUGGAGAGCAAACUCAAGAGGUCUUGAUCCCUCUUCCCAUAAAUGCCCACCAGCUCUAUCGCUUCUGUGUACAAAGCCCGAAGACGAGGAUCGAUAGCAAUUGCUUCUGUGGGAUUAAAAGCAAUACCAUCGAGCUUGUUCCUGCCACGCCUAGCAGCCACCUCCUGGAGUUGCUCCUUAAUUUCCUUGAUGGCGCCAGCUAUUCGAUGGUGAUUCUUGCCCUUCUUGAACAAGUAGAUCAUCUUGUUCUUGAGCUCCUUGAAUCUGCUGGUGUUGUCAUGAGGCUGCUGAAUACCUUCGACACCUACGAGGAACUUGUCGACGACAUCCUCCAUGUUAUAGGAGAGCUCUCUGACCUCGUCGGCCCAAAGCUUGACUUGCCUGGACAUGAGCUGCUCUCCUCCCCCCGCGUCGCCUCCCCGAGCGGGGCGACCGGGGGCUCUCGUCGCCCCUCCCAGCCCCCCCCUCCCCCUCCUCCCCUUCCGCCGCCGUUGGCCUGGGCCACCGGGCCUUUCUCGCGUGGUGCCGGCGGCGGCGGCCCCGGCCUUUCCCCCUCGCAUGGCGCCUCGGCUCGGGCGGACGGCGGCCGUCGGGGGUGCUCCUCGGCGACAAUGGAUCCGGUGGCGGCGCGGCUCCCUGGGCGGCGUCGUGCUGGGUGGCGUGCGGGCGGUGGCGCGGCCGCUUGGCGGCGGGGCGACGCGGUGGCUAGCGGCGGGCCUUCCCGGCCCAGAUCUGGGCCCUUUUGGGCUCGAUCUGGGUCUGGGCGGGCCUGGCCUGGUCUGCUUGCGGCGUCUCCGGCGGGUCGGGGGCGUGACUCGUGCGGGGGGUGGUAGCGACGCUGGCUCGCGUUCUGCAGCGCGGCGACGGGGGCUUCGCGAGCCCGUUUCGGGCUCGGCUGGGCCGGGGGUGGCCCGGUUUGCCCCUGUGCUGCGUCCGACCGGAUCCCGCCGGGGGCGGUGGAGGAUGUCCCCUCCCGCGAGGCUGUUGAUGUUGCCGCUCCUGGUUCCCGAUUGUGUCGUCUUGUUUCCGUCAGUCCCGUUUCGUUUGCCAUGGUGAGACGGCGAUGGAGACUGCUCGACCGUGGUGGCGCAAGUUGGUGGGCGGUGUGUGUGGUGGCGCGUGAUGGAUCGUCUGGGGUCGUGGUUGGUUGGUGGUCGGGAGAAAUCCUUGUCGGCAGGGCCGGCACCGACGCGGUGAUGCUCGUGGGCGCCGCCGUGCCUUCCUCAAGGGCGUCGGGCUUACCCCUUCCACCUCACCCCUCGCGUACCGGGGGAAACCCUAGGACAUGUCCGGGCAACAGCGUCGUCAUCGUCGCGAUCCUUCUUGAGGGUGUUGUUUGGUAUGCGGCGGUCCGAAGUGCUAGGAGCGUGGUGGUUAUCCGGUGGGCGCGGCGGUUGCGGGUCCUCAUUGUUUUCGUUGAUCCGUCGUUGUUGGCAUUCUUUUCUCUUCAUUUAUUUUUCUGUUUCUUUUGGGCUUGUUGUGCUGUUCGCCCCAGCGUUCCUGUAUCGGUGUUGGUUGCUUUGGAAUAUAAAGCGGGGGGAAACCCUUUUUCGGAAAAAAAGCUUGACUUGCCUGUCGAGCUGGUCCCGCGGCACCUCGCCAACCUUGAUGAGGGCAGCGUGCAUGCUCUCAAGCUCCUUCCAGAGGAACUCGACAUCUUUUUUGACGCGCUUGUGCAAGUUGUACUCAUCCAUGAGCAGCUGGCCUAGCAUGGGGAGUAGGCAGCCCAUGGCACCUGUGACGACCUCCAUGACCGAUCAGCUGGAAACCUGCAAAUCGAUGAAUGUGGGGAGCUGUAAUGCAAUCCAAGCUCUAGAACCGAGUUGCCAAGCCAAAACUUUAGCUAGAUUUGGACCAAGCUCACCUUUGGUGCUUCACGGCAGAGCAGAACACAGCGGGGGCGCCCUCGUCGGAGGUGACAAGGAAGCGGAAGCGGCGGCAGCGGCACACCAGAGGCCAGAUGCGUCACUGGCUCACUGCUCCCGGGUUGGAAGAAGACGAAUUUGUAAUCUAGCAAAGCAGCAGAUUAACAAGAAGGUGCAGAUUAACAAGAAGGUGUGGAUGUGAGUAGAGCAGAACAGCAAGAAAGGUGAGACGAAGUUACCAGGUCGAUCAGUGGAUUCGAUGCAUCCUGCUCUGAUUGACAGGGAACUUCAUGAUUCUUGCUACCCUGGAUUCAAGAUUCAACCAGCACAAAUGGAUGAGACUCUGAAGCAGGAGAAUUGAUCAGUUUUUAGAUCCAAGCAUUGCUACCUUAGCUGGAAACAAAUCGACAGGAAACAUACCUCCGCGGUAAACAAGGUCUCCCGGCAGGGGCGGAGCACUCACUGGAGCUUGGAUGCAUGCGGAUGUAUACCAGGCGACGCGACACAAUGGACGAGAUGAGGAGAUGAGAAUGAGGGGAAGGGGAGACGGAGGAGCAGAGGAAGAGCAACAACAGCAGUCAAGAUAGAUACGAAUCCAUCGGAAUAGUACGUAAUGCUUUUGGCUCAUGUGUUUGUUCAUCAGUGGACGAUGCGUUGGAUGUGGGACAAGGUAAAGAAGAAGGAAAGGGAGUGCUUUGGGUGGGUGGGUGGGCGUGGAAAGAAAUGCAACGCUUGGUGGCCAGCAUCAUCGUCAAUCACAAAGCACUACUGUACUAGAAGAUGCACCGCUUGUGUUCUUUGGAAUGCAUUGCACGGAUUUGGUUCAUUUUUUGUUUGUUUGGGUCGACAAGAUGUCGAAAAUGUCAGGUUCUGUUCGGUUUGCCGUAGAUGCGCCUAAUGCAGGAACAUUACAUGAAUACCAUUUUGUUGGUAGCGGAAAUAUGUAGUUCAAACAUAAAAUUCAUUUUACACGCACUAUUUAAACAUUAGCUCUUUUAUUAUCAUUGUGGGUCCAUGUAUGAUCCACAAGAUUAGUGGGUAGCUACGUGUUCACCUAAUGAUCUCGAAGAUUCUGAUGUCUCUGAAAAAAUCAUAAAUUGAUCUGCAUCUUUAUGUUCUGGGAUGUGGACUUGUUCUCCUGGCUUGCCAAAAUCAUAGCUCUCGCGUACCCCAUCAUAUUUGUUCUCGAUAAUCAUAUUGUGCAAAAUGACACAACAUGUCAUAAGGUGCCACAAAGUCUCUGAUUCCCACAUUAUUUAGGGGUUGAAUCGCCACAUUGUUGCCGUUUGGAUGAUGCAAAGUAAUCGGCAUGUAGCGAAUCAAUCUCUAAGGGUAACUCCAAUAGACCGAUACAUUUUGUCCGCCCGCAUUUGUUUGUGUUCCUGCGGACAAAAAACAUAGACGGGUGGGUGUCCGUUUUUUUGUCCAUUUCGAUCCAUUUUCGGCCCAACUUUAGGCCGGGUUUGGGUCUGUCCGGACAUGUUGUGGAUGCCCGCAAAGUCCUUCCCUUGUCCUUCCCUGCCUGCCAGUCGCUCGCACACCAUCGCCACUCCCACCAUUCCUAUCCCAAAAACCCUCCCUCCUAGAGUCAUGGCUGACGGCCUGACGCGCCCAACCCCGCCGCCGCCGCCUCGUCCCCGCCGUGGCCCCGAAGAAGCUGAAGAAGGAGAUCACCCCGAAGUAUAGAUCAUCCGAAACGACGAUGCGGGCCAACCGGAGGAGGAAGGAGAAGGCAAAAGAAGACCCCUCCACCACCACCGCUGCCACUGCCACUGAGGACACCGACGCCAUCGCCGUUAAGGCCGCACAAACCGCCCUCCUCCUGCUGGGGUUCCUUGAGCCGGCCCUUCUCGGCACCGCCACGACGGGAGCUGGCACGUCAACAUCAUUGUCGAUGUAUGCUUACCUUCCCAGACACGACCCGACGACGCUUCUCCAUCUCACCUCGGCACGGCUUGCCGGAAAUGGGUAAUGAUGUGUUGGUCAUCCCCGUGGUGUCCCCCAUUGAUAUCAACGCCACACCUGUGACCAGGCGGUCUACCGGGACACUUGGGAAGCGCUCACGGGUUGUCUCCCCAGCCAACUUAACCGAUGCCCGCAACUUGUAUGGUGGAAUGCCAACCCCGACGCCGGACAACCCAAACUACUACUAUGAUCUCAUGGAGGAGAUGAUCAAUGUGGGCGGCCAGGGGAUUGAGCUAAAGAAACUCAAGGACAAGAGACCAAAGUCCAAGACAAUGUUGACAUCGAGGAAGAACCAUUGUUUGGGGAGGAGUUAUCUCAUCAAGCCUGGUCACAAAGAACAAAAUAUGAAAUGACUUUUCACUAGUCCCGCCUCAUUGGAUAGAUUUUUACAUGGAUGCCAAGAUAACUUCAUAGAGCAAAAUAAUAAAAAUAUACAAAUAUUCCACUAAAGUAAGAGCAUAUCCAACAUCAGACUGAAAAAUGAGUUCAAUACCUAAAAAUUGAAUCUCUUGGAUUCUUUUUGCCACAAAAGGCUCCAAUACCAGAUCGGAAACUCCAUGGCGACCAAAAAUUUAAGUCACCUAAAUUUGGUUAUCCAAUCUCUACCUAAUGAUAAAGAUCUAUUGACUGUGGCGGUACGUCAUGAAAAUUGUACCAAAAAUUGCAAAAUAUUAGCGCCGCAGCGUGCCCGUUUUGUCUGGCCCAUGUCCGGGCAGCCUGUUUUUUAAAUUUCAUUUUCUAUUUCUAUUUUUAUUUUCCAUUUUUAUUUCUUUCUAAUUUAAAUAAUUUGGGACUUCAAAAAGGUUUCAAUUUUUUUAAAAUAAGGAUCUUAGAAUAUUUUUUAAAUAAAUCAUAAAAUGUUUGUGAAUUCAAAAAAUGUUCGUGAUUUUUAAAAAAAAAUUGUUUGCUUAUUCAAAAAAUGUUUGAAAUUUUGAAAACAAAUGUUCGGGAAAUAAAAAAAAUUCAUGAUUUUUUUCAAAAGUUUGUGUAUUAGAAACUGUUAAUGGAAUUUACAAAAUUUCGCGAAUUCAACAGGAAUGGAAAAUAUCCUAAAAACUAAAAAAAUGUCGAUUUAUAAAAUAUUCGCUGAUUCAAAAAUGAUCAUGCAUUUCAAAAAUUACUUCUUAAAUCUAAUAAAUAUUCGUGAAUUUCAAGAAUUUUUCCACCAAUUUCCAAAAAAAUGUUUGUCAAAUCUAGAAAUGUUCGCCAAUUCAAGAAACAGGUUCAGAAUUUUCAAAAAAUGUUUGCAAAUAGUAUAAAAUGUUCAUGAAUUGUAAAAAUUAUUCUUGAUUUUAGAAAAUGUAAAAAAACAUGUAAAAAGUGUUCAUGAAUUUGAUUUUUUUUCAUGAUUUCAAAUACGUGCAUGAGUUUUAAAAAAUAUUCAUGAUUUCAAAAACUGUUUAUGAUUUAAUGAAAUGGAGAGUGAAAGUAAAGGGUAGAGGAUAGAGGGUAGUAGUGGGCGGUAUUACCGCGCUGCUCUACUCUAGUACCGCUGUUUCACCUAUGCAUGCAAUACCUAGCGGUAGUACCGCUGGUGGGAGUGAUAGUACUGCCCCAGCUAGAGAACAAUGGGCGAGAGGUCACAAGUGCCCAGACAAAGUGCCCAUACAUGUCAUGGAAGAACUCCUGGAGGUCUUGCAGCUGGAUGAUCCGCCUGAUCCGCAACACUUGUCGGAUUCUAGCUCGGACGAUGAAGUCAUGCUACUGGCAAGUGACAGCCCCAACAAAACAGCAGUGAGACGUCGGACUAUGCGGGUCGAUGGACUAAUUGGCAAGCGUAGCAUUCUUGUGUAGAUUGACUCCAGAGCAAAUUGUUCCUUGUGGAUGCAGCCCUGGUCCAAGAAUUGCAGAUUCCAACUCAGCCAAUGCCCAAUGCAUCGUAUGUGAUUGCAGGUGGUGAUACCCUGACCAGCUCGACAAUGGCACCGAAAUUGACCUGGUGGGCACAAGGGCAUACUUUUGUGCAAGAUAUGAAGGUACUUCCCCUAGGCUGCUACGACCUAAUUGUUGGUGUUGAUUGGUUGGAAGAGCACAACCCCAUGUGGGUGCAUUGGCACAAGAAAUGGAUGAAAUUCACACAUGAUUGGUGCCGGAUCACUUUGCGUGGAGUGCGAGAUAAACCAGUGAAGUGUAAGCAAGUGACACCACGGAAACUCAAAGGACUGUUGCCAAGAGGAGCUAUUCAACACGGUGUGCAGAUUCAGCAAAUUCACCAGGAGCAAGACUUCAUGUCACUUCAGCUCCAAAAGGCAGAGGGUACCCCUUUGCCACCAGAAAUUAAGUCUCUGUUGCACGAAUUUGAUGAUCGUUUUCAACCUCCAAUGAAGUUACCACCACGCCGUCCGGAGGACCAUACCAUCCCUCUCAUACCAGGGGCCCAACCUGUCAGUGCUCGGCCGUAUCGCUAUACACCUCAACAAAAAGACGAGAUCCAACGACUGAUUAGAGAGAUGCUAUGCAUGGGGAUCAUUCGUCCUAGUACCAGUCCAUUAUGUUGGUGCGCAAGAAAGACGGGUCUUGACAAUUUUGUGUUGAUUAUCGACAGCUCAAUGCCGUCACUAUUAAGAACAAGCACCCGAUGCCCAUUGUGGAUGAGUUGUUAGAUGAACUUUCUGGGGCCAAGUGGUUCACAAAGCUUGAUUUGUUAUCCGGGUACCAUCAAAUCAAAGUGGCAUAUGGUGAGGAGUUCAAGACAUCAUUUCGCACCCACCAAGGGCUCUACGAGUUCCUGGUUAUGCCCUGUGGACUCUCACGGGCACCAGGGACGUUCCAAGGGGUGAUGAACUUUUUUUUGACCCUCUGUUGAGACAUGGAGUGCUGGUCUUUAUGGAUGACAUCUUGGUGCACAGUGCUACCCUAUCUGAGCAUGUCCGCCUCCUGCACGCCGUUCUGCAAACGCUCCGAGAAAAUUCCCUAGUGGUCAAGCGCUCCAAGUGUGCUUUUGCCUAGCCGUCAAUUGAAUACCUGGGUCAUGUGAUCAGCGCAGAUGGAGUGGCUACAGAUCCUACGAAAGUGGAAGCGGUCCAGACGUGGCCUACUCCUACAUCUGUUCGUGCGCUCCGUGGAUUUCUUGGGCUCACUGGAUAUUACCGCAAGUUCAUCCAGAACUACAGUAUUAUUAGUCGACCUCUGACAGAAUUACUGAAGAAAGGGGUCAUCUUCUAGUGGACCCCAACAGCAGACAUGGCCUUCCGGCUGUUGAAGCAAGCAAUGAUUGAAGCGCCAGUUUUGGCUAUCCCUAACUUUCAUCAGCAGUUUAUACUGGAGACAAACGCUUGUAAAGAUGGGAUCGGGGCUGUUCUUAUGUAGCAAGGUCACCCGGUGGCUUAUCUGAGUAAAGGUCUCUGUCCUAAGAACCAAGCCCUCAGCAUGUAUAAAAAAGAGUGUUUAGCCAUUCUCAUGGCCGUGGACAAAUGGAGGCCUUACUUGCAGCACCAGCCUUUCAUCAUUCGCACUGACCAGCAAGCCCUGCUACACCUGUCAGAUCAAAGGCUUAACACUUGAAUCCAACACAAAGCCUUUGUGAAACUCAUGGGUUUGGAAUAUACUCCCUCCGUUCCAAAAUAGAUGACCCAACUUUGUACUAACUUUGUACUAAAGUUAGUACAAAGUUGGGUCAUCUAUUUUGGAACGGAGGGAGUACCAUACAGUACAAGUGAGGCAUCACCAAUGUAGCAACCGAUGCCCUCUCGAGGAGGGAGCACAAUCAGUCUCGGCUGGACAUAUCUUCUGCAGUGCCGACAUGGAUGGAAAAUGUGGUUGCAGGUUACGAGGAUGACGCAAUGACUAAGCAAAUCUGGACAGAAUUUUCACUGUCAGGCACACAUGAUAAGGGUUAUACAUUGGAAAAUGGCAUGAUUCGUUACAAAGGGCGCAUCUGGGUGGGUCACAAUUCCCUAGCUCAACAACACAUACUGCAAUCUCUUCACAACAGUGCUCUUGGGGGUCAUUCUGGAGUGCUUGCAACAUACCCGGGAGUUAAGAAAUUGUUUGCAUGGCCCAAAAUGAGGUGCUCUGUCACAGAGUUUGUGCAAGCGUGUUAAAAAAUCAUAAAUUGAUCUGCAUCUUGAUGGUCUGGGAUGUGGACUUGUUCUCCUGGCUUGCCAAAAUCAUAGCUCUCGCGUACCCCAUCAUAUUUGUUCUCAAUAAUCAUAUUGUGCCAAAUGACACAACAUGUCAUAAGGUGCCACAAAGUCUCUGAUUCCCACAUCAUUUAGGGGUUGAACCACCACAUUGUUGCCGUUUGGAUGAUGCAAAGUAAUCGACAUGUAGCGGAUCAAUCGCUAAGGGUAACUCCAAUGGGCCGACACAUUUCGUCCGCCCGCGUUUAUUUGUGUUCCUGCGGACAAAAAACAUAGACGGAUGGGUGUCCGUUUUUUGUCCAUUUCGAUCCAUUUUCGGCCCAAAUUUAGGCCGGGUUUGCAUCUGUCCGGACAUGUUGUGGAUACCCGCAAAGUCCUUCCCUUGUCCUUCCCAGCCUGCCAGUCGAUGGCACACCAUCGCCACUCCCACCAUUCCUAUCCCCAAAACCCUCUCUCCUAGAGUCAUGGCUGACGCCCUGACGUGCCCAACCCCGCCGCCGCCUCGUCCCCGCUGUGGCCCUGAAGAAGCCAAAGAUGGAGAUCACCCCAAAGUACAGAUCAUCCGAAACGACGAAGCAGGCCAACCGGAGGAGGAAGGAGAAGGCAAAAGAAGACCCCUCCACCACCACCGCUGCCACUGCCACUGAGGACACCGACGCCAUCGCCGUCAAGGCCGCACAAACUGCCCUCCUCCUGGUGGGGUUCCUUGAGCUGGCCCUUCUCGCCACCGCCACGACGGCAGCCGGCACGUCAACAUCACUGUCGAUGUAUGCUUACCUUUCCAGACACGACCCGACGACCUCUCGCUUCUCCAUCUCACCUCGGCACGGCUUGGCGGAAAUGGGUAAUGAUGUGUCGGUCAUCCCCUUGGUGCCCCCCAUUGAUCUCAACGCCACACCUGUGACCAGACAGUAUACCGGGACACUUGGGAAGUGCUCACGGGUUGUCUCCCCAGCCAACUUACCCGAUGCCCGCAACUUGUUUGGUGGAAUGCCGACCCCGACGCCAGAUGAUCCAAACUACUACGAUGAUCUCAUGGAGGAGAUCAUCAAUGUGGGCGGCCAAGGGAUUGAGCUAAAGAAACGCAAGGACAAUAGACCAAAGUCCAAGAGAAUGUUGACAUCGAGGAAGAACUACUGUUUGGGGAGGAGUUAUCUCAUCAAGCUUGGUCACAAAGGAGGCAGCAAAGCGUGAGGACCGAAACAUACAUGGAGGAUGAGGACAAGUUGCUUUGCGAGGCUUGGAUGGAAAUUGGACAAGAUCCCCAAAUGGGCGCCGAACAAAAAGGUUCAACAUUUCGAAAGAGGGGCCAUGCUUUCUUCCAUGAAUAUAAAAAGUUUGAGCCCUACAAAUUUGAGAGUGACCGGGUGAUGUGUCACUUAAAAAGAGGUGGAGCUUCAUCCUAUUGGAGUGCAACAAAUUUUGUGGCUCCUAUGAACAUGUGGUUUGCCGCCCGUGAGUGGCAUUGGUGUCAAGGACUUGGUAUGUCUUCUAUUCCACUCUUCACAUGAGCAUAUGGUCAUUGGUUUUUUCUCUCUUUUUCCUGUGUUUUUCUCUACAGCUUUCUUUUAUUUUCAAUAGUUUUCUUAUUUUCUUCUUUUUUGUGUUUUCUUUUUCUUUUUAUUGGUUUUCUUUGUUAUCAUUUUGUUUUGUAUGGGGUUUUUAUAGGGUUUUUUUCUCUGUUGUCCUUUGUGUUUUUAUGGUUUUCUUCAUUGCUUUUCAUAGGAAUUUUUCUUUUCCUUUUCUCUUCUUGAUGUGUUCUUUUUGGCUGUCCUUUUGGGUUUCAAUUGUAUGUGUUUCUAUAUCGGUUUUGUUCGGAUUUACAUUUUGUUUCUUUCAUUUUCAACAGAUGUAUACUUUUAUUCAUACAAAUUAUAUAUUUUCGUUUACAUCAAGAACAUUUUUAAUAUAUGUUUUAAUAUUUUUGAAAAUAUAUAUGUCCUUGAUGCCUAAUUUUUUCAUACACAUGUAACAUAUUUUGAAUACAUGAUUAAUUUUUCAAAAUAUAUACGUAUUGAUGUCUAAAUUUUUUCAUUCAUUUUUGUACAUUUUCCCUACAUUUUUGUUCUAACAUAUGUUUUGAUUUCUAAUUUUUUUAUGUAUUGUACAUUUUUAUACGGCUGAAACAUUUUUGUAUACACAUUUAAGAAUUUUCUAAUAUAUGAUGGGGAGGUGUGGGGAAGAGUUGGAUGGGAAGCACUAUCACCAUGGACGACUUCACCCCCUCCAAGAUCAGCAUCAGCCAUGGAUGGAGAGGACGAUGACGCCCAACAGCAGCAACCAUGGCUGGAAUUUUUUUUAAUUCCUAAUUAGUUAGUAGUAGCGAGGGUCCAGACACACGCUACUACUAACGGAUGUAGCACCCGUGCUACUACUAUCAAUUAGCUGUAGCGCCCUAGUAGUAGCGUGGGCACCUACUAGUCCUUUACCCCGCGCCGCUAUAGGCUUUUUCCUAGUAGUGUGUGUGCGUGUGUUGUAAUGGCGUGCGUUUAUGCGGGGUUGUGGAUGAUCGUUGCUUUAUACAUAAAGCGGGGCGAAAUUCAUUUUUUGUAAAAAAAGAAGGGGGGGAGGAGGGGGGCAUGUAAUACUAGGCAAUGUCGAUAACAAGCUGAGCUAGUCAAUGUAUCCAUCAAUUUUGAAAUCUUCAUGCCCCUAUUGGCCCCCGCAUUGCGUCUACCGCACACCUGUUGCUUCUGUCACAGUUAUUUAGUCUAAAAGUGACCUAGGUUAUGCUUGUAAAUAGAUGCUAGUUUAGACAUAAACAUGCGGCCGUUAAAAUUGUGAUGUCAUGAAAUCAAAUCAUUACAAAUUUGAUAAUACUAGGUUAAGAUGAUGUAACUAAGUAAGUUUUGAUAUAAUCUGAGAAAAAUUAGGACAUGUUCUUUAUAUAUAAGAGGGGUAUUUCCUAUGUUGUAGAUUUUUCUUUUGCAUUUAAAGCAGCAUUUGCAAUUUGGAACGCACUGAAUUAUAAAACAUAUCCAUAUUAGAUAGUACAACAUUGCUUAGUAUUAUAUCGACUUUUAGAGCAACUCCAACGCGUCGACCGAAACGGACGCGCGCUUUGUCCGCUUUUCGUUCGUUUGGAUCGGCCAGACGGACAUGCGCGUCCGCUUUUCGAUAUGGGUCGGCAGGUGUGCCCAACAGGAGGCAUGCCCAUUUUUAGCCCGCAUGACCGAAAUAAAUUUAGAAAACUUAACUAAACAUAAGUGGCUGGUCAACGCUGGCCAAAGUCCACUUAAACAGUAAUUAAACAUAAAAAACGCCUGCAGGAUGCCCUAGUCAUCGACGUUGCCCAUGCCCUUGCCGUCGUCGUCGCCGCCGAUGAGGUCGAUGACGACGGGAGGCAGCCCAGCCCAGCCGAACGUGGCUUCAUAGGCCGCCAGGAUUGCCUCCUCCAGCGACUGAUGCGGCAAUGAGGCGAGGCGGGCGCGCUCCUCCUCCUUCUGGUGGCGGUCCUCCUCCUCCCAGUGCCACCGCGCUUGGUGCCACCGGGAUGUGCAGCCACUGCCUCGUGGGGGGGAGGGGGGUAGGCGCCAGCGGCGGCGGAGAAGAAAGAGCGCGGGAGGAGGAAGCGCCGGGGGCGAACUUUCUCUUGUUCUUGCCAGAGCCGCUGAAUAAACCCAUGGCUAGAAUUUGGUUGUCGCCGGCGAGGAAGCAGGAGGGGCGAUUAGAUGUGGACGGGCAGUAGAAGNNNNNNNNNNNNNNNNNNNNNNNNNNNNNNNNNNNNNNNNNNNNNNNNNNNNNNNNNNNNNNNNNNNNNNNNNNNNNNNNNNNNNNNNNNNNNNNNNNNNNNNNNNNNNNNNNNNNNNNNNNNNNNNNNNNNNNNNNNNNNNNNNNNNNNNNNNNNNNNNNNNNNNNNNNNNNNNNNNNNNNNNNNNNNNNNNNNNNNNNNNNNNNNNNNNNNNNNNNNNNNNNNNNNNNNNNNNNNNNNNNNNNNNNNNNNNNNNNNNNNNNNNNNNNNNNNNNNNNNNNNNNNNNNNNNNNNNNNNNNNNNNGAUUAAAAGAUGACGGCCUCGUGACGCUUCCAUUGGCAGACGUGUGGGCUGGGUGUCGGUGGCCGCUAUUAAUAUGACCGCAUUCGAUCAUUUGCCGGCUGCCAUGUGGGACCGUGAAGGACACCAAGGGGACGCGCGGCGCAUCCGCUUCAUGUCCGCUCCGACGCAUUUCAGGCCCAAAUUUAAGGCUGAAAUGGAUUGGCGUGAACAUCAAGCAUACGCUUUUGGCGAUUUCCUAUUUGAUUCUCUCUGCGUCAAACUGUCGAGGUAACGCACACAUCGACGACACUAAUCUAACGACUAGACCGGCCCAUCUACGAUAGCUAAUGACUAGAUCGCAUCUGGUUUGGGAACCCUCUCGAAGGCUCCAGCACUAGUUUCUACCGGUUUUACAAACCUUCUAGAAGGUUCCUGAACCUCUUUUGGACUGCUUUGUUGGUUUCUUUUCUUUUUAUUUUUUGUUUUUCUUUACCCAUUUCUUUUCUUUUUUCAUUUUUAUUUCUUUUCUUUACGUUUUCUUAAAAAUUUCACAACUUUACAAAACUUGUUCAGGAAUUUCAAAGCUUUCCAUUCAAAAAAUUUCUCACAAAAUUUUAGAAAGAGGUCUUUUAAAUUUUUAAAGUAGUUCAUCUUUUAAAAUUUUGUUCGCGGGUUUCAAAAAAUGUUCCCGUUUCAAAAUUUGUUCACAAUUUUUUUUAAAAUGUUCUUGUUUCACAUUUUUUUCACGAGUUUCGUUAAAUAUUCCCAGUUUCAAGAAUUGUUGAAAAAUUUCAAUUAAUGUCUAUGUUUCAAAUUUUGUUUGGGACUUUUAAAAAAUGUCCGCAAUUUUUUAAAACAAAUUUUGGUUUUCAAAUUCUGUUCACGAGAUUAAAAAAAUACUCCCAUUUUUCAAGAAUGUUCAUGUAUCCAAAAAUUGUUUAGGAAUUUUAAAAUUGUUCCAAUUUUUUUUUUAAAUGUUCGCGUUUUCAAUUCAUUUAGGGGGGUUUAAAACAAUGUUCCCGUUUCCAAAAAUUGUUUGCAUUUUUUCAAUUUUUUGAGUUUUUCAAAUUUUAUUCAGAAUUUUUAAAAGUGCCCACGGUGCCAUAAAACAUCACGUUUUUUUUAAAUAAUGUUUUGAGUUGAAAAUAAUAAAAAAAACGUUCGGAUCUGCGCUCAGUUCUGUUCUUAAGUGUUUGCGUUGCAUUUAACACAUUAUAGCGCUCUAGGUUGGCUGGCUAGGUUACUUCAUCGAAAGCACCUGAUCUUGUGUUCGAUCCCUCCCUCGCACACCGCAGAGAGCGGCAAAUAGGAGCUACCCGCUUUUGGGGUUUGGGUCUGUGCGUUGGGCCGGUGUUUUGGUCUGCGGUGAGACGCGGGCGGACGAAAUUGAUCGCCUGGUUAGAGUUGGUCUUAUGAAAUCUGUAUACAUUGGCGGGGCUACAACAAGGCCUACCUGGGCCCAGCGUUGGAGCAAAAAGUAAAAAAUUACACCUAGCCCACCAGUCCCAUGGCCGAGCCAUGACUCCAGGAGGCGACUUAGCUGGCAGCGGCACCGGCGACCCAGCUGUUUUAUAGUUUAUACCAUGCAAAGCUAUUGUUCUUUGCAUUUUACUGGUUCACAACAAAGGCCACUUUUACGGUUUAUACAAGUUCAGAACAAAGGCGUUGUUUCUAGCUCACCGUUUAACAGUAGUUUCCAAUUUGGUAGCAUAAUAAAUAUAUAAUUCACUUAAUAUUGUAAAUAGGGAAAAGUAUAUAUUCCGUUCUUGAACUUUUUCGAAAGUAUAGAAAUGGUCCCUCAACUUUAAAACCGGCAAACCUUAGUUCCUCAACUUCUCAAACCAGAUUAGUUGAGUCCCUUGUAUCGCUUCGGGUGGUUUUUGUUCAAUGUGGAUACGGUUUUAACCAAAACUUGUCAUGUCGCCUGGGUUUGACCGCCAUGUCAUAGUCCACAUCGUUUUUUCUUCGAAACUGGCCCCAAAUCCAACCCAGGUAUGUGUAAACGGCGUCGUCCAUGACUGUCUUGAAAACAGAAAGGGUGAAAUUAUGUGAGUAAUCACAAAAAAUGAAGCAUGCAUAUAUACAUACAAAAAAAAACAUGUUAAUUAGGUGUAGCAGAGUGCACACUAUAACCAAGUACUUUUCUGUUCCUAUUCUAAUUGCCAUAAACGUAUAUAUUUUUAUUCAACCCUUUUUGCAAGGGAUUUAUUAACCAACCUUGUCUGAGGACAUGAUGUUCCCGCAUUUCAUACACAGAGAAAAUGAAAAACUACGGAGAUUGGUCCGGUUAAUUCGGCACAAAUAUAUAGCCCUGUCCUGGCUUUGCAACGAUGCUUUUGAAAAUACAAAAAUAAUUUGCUACCAUGGGGUACACAUGCAUUUGUAUAAAAUACUAGUCCACCUGUUAGUUGGAAGCACACUUUCCAUUUGUAUGUAACAGGACCAUGUUGGUAGAACUAGUAAAUAUUUUCUUAAGUAGAAAAUCCCAACCGUAAGCCGCAGUUUUUAUUCAAAUUAAGGAGCUCAGGUGAGCCCCCCAUUUACCAAAAAGCUUUUUUUUACCGAAAAAGGAGCCCCCCAUUUCAUUUAUCACGAAACUGAAAAUAUACCUUAAGGUUCUCUGGUUCAGCUUAAAAACAAAAAACAGAGCAAAACAGAGCAGCAACGAUGGCCCUCAACUGAAGCAAAGCAAGCUAUCCUUGUAAGGAUCAAUUCACUACAACACUCUUUACUUAUUCAUUACAAAACCAAGCAAUAUCUCUUUCUGCAAGCAGCUGCCAUUUAAAAGAACCACAUCACACAACUUCCAGCGAAGCUCGAAACUUUCCCAUCUUCAAUUCUUCGCACGGCCGGUGCCCACCAGCAGUAACCCCG